rnacentral:lncRNA from 1 species
GAAACCGCUGUUGAUAAAGAACAAUACUAUUGAAAAUUCAAAAUCAUAAUGACUAAUCAAAUAUUUACAAAAAAAUUAUUAAUUUACAAAGAUAUAAGUUUCUUCAAUUCGGUAAGUUACACAAUGAAAUGUUAAAAGUUGAUUCACAUACAUACACGUAUAAUAAAUGACACAUACAAAAGAAAAAAAACAAAUAGAGAAUCUCAAUACGUGUAGGAGAAACGGUAACGAGAAAACCUUAAAAUUAUGGGAUACAAACUAAGGUGAGCUUUAAUUCAAACUUUUUAGUAUCUUCAUGCCACAAAUCUUUUUUAACUCAAAAGUAACAACUCGAAUCUCUGAUCUACAAAAUCUUUUGUAUUAAUUAUAAAUCUCUAAAAACGGAAAAACAUAAAAUAAGGUAAGAAAAAUUUAGAUAUAAACCCAAACACCUUGAUCGAUCAUUCUGCCAGUGUCAUCAUCCUUUGGAUUGGAUGCCAAAUUUAAAAAAAAAAAAAAAAAAAAAAAAAAAAAAAAAAUUGAUUCAAGAGGAUUACCGGUUACUGCUUCGUCCUUACCCUUCAAUCCAACUGUUUCCCAUUUCCAUCGUGUUUACUUCCGAACGAACCAGGAGAAGAGCAGCCAAGAACAGCCACACCAAACCCUCGAUCUGAAAAUCCUUGAAUCUUUUUCCCUUUUCGCAUGUCGCACCAUUCUUCUUCUCCGUCACUCCACUGCCGAAAAACCCAGCGGUCGCUGAUUGCCCUUCCUUCGCACCUCGAUGCUGGAACCGAGCAAGCAGCCGAGAAGCUGCUUGAGCAGCUCCUCACUGCACCCCCGUCCGAGAUAAAAGUCGCCUCGCUGCUCCUCCCUUCCUCCCCUGCGGUCUCGUCGACCCCGAAGACACCGUUCUUCCUCCUCGCGAUCUGCAAUCGCCGGAUACCUCCCUCAGCCCUCUUUCUGGCCUGCGACGAGCAAGGAAACCAAAAGCCGCACCGUUGUCUUGGUGCUUUCCUUCGUGACUGCCAUCGUGUCCAGUUCGUUUCCUUGAUCGACCCACAAAUGAAAACGGGGGGAUAAAGCCCUAAUUCCUUUUAUGAAAACACGGGAUGCAUAUAAAAGCCCAAAGUCAUUUUUUUUUAAUUAGGAAAUGACCAAAAUGCCCUCCCUAUUAAACCAUUUAUUCAAAAUCACUCUCAACCCAGUUAUUGAACCCAUUUGUUUAAAACAACCCGUCAAUUUGUUUUUUUUUUUUUUUUUUUUUUUUUUUUUUUUUUUUUUUUUUUUUUUUAUAAAAAUAGUCCUAAUCAUUUAAUCAAAUUAACAAAAAGCCCCUAUACUUUAGUGAAGUUAAAAAUCAGCCCCCAAUAGUUUAAAUUCGUUACGAAACGGUCCCAAGAGUAUUUCAAAGUUCAAGGAUUGUGGAUUUGUGGUUUCACACAACAAGAUUUCUCAAAAGAAACCGAAUUCGAACAAAAGGAACCCACCCUUUUUAAUUUUUUAAUUAUUUCGCAAGAGGGGGAGGAAUACGUGUGCCUAUAUAUAUUUUGUUUAUAUAAAUAUAUUAUUCUUUAUGCGAGAAUAAAAUAAAUCUAAUUUAUAAAAUUGUUAUUUUAAAUUUUAACAUAUUGUUACAAGUAACUAGUAUAAACUUUUCAUAAACAUAUUUUGAAAUUUUUAUCGUGAAAUAACUAGUCUACACGAUAUAUGUUACAUGAUACAAAAAUAUAUUAUUUUUAUGUGACAUUGUAUAUUAUGACAAGCACAUUAUAACACUUUGUAGUAUUUCAAUGAUUCAAGCUAUUACUAUUCAUGUAUAUUUAUAUGUUUAAACACAUAAAGUUUAUACAUUUACAUAUGUUCAUUACUUUGAAACAUACAUCUUUAUAAAAGCAAGUACAUUACACUUUUACAUACAUACCAAGCAUACUUGGCUUUUAUAAAAUUCAUACAAUAAAAUGCACAAUGCCUAGUGACUUAAUCACAAUUAAGUUAGGGCUGAGAGUUAUUCACAAACUUUUUAGUUAAGACCUUUCUAGUGAGACGUUCUUCAUUAGCUAAGUUUAAACACUUAGCAUACCCACACUACUAUAACCGUUAAUCUUCGGAGCGAGAUACAAAUAUAUAGAUCUAUACAUGGUUGACAUCCCCACCUGCGAUUGCUAGCUACAACCUCUACCGAUCAAUCGAAGUGGGUGAUAAGUAUCUACGAUCGUUACUGCAACGUCCAAUGAAGUGUUGUAGGGGGUAGACUCAGUCACAUAGCUCGGUUAUAGGACUUACUACAAACAUUAACUAGAACCUCUCUCUCUCUCUCUCACUCACUACCAACCAUGGGCUUGGUUGCUUUCAAAACUAUUUUAAUUAUGGAAUUACUUAUGUAACAUAACAGUUUGGUUUUAAAGGAUAUUCAAAGAUUCAUUACAAUCAUUGAAGUAUGGAUUUUCUUAUAUAAAAAUACAUUUUGGCUUUUAAAGACUCAUUACAAACAUUGUUUUAACUAUUGAUAUACAUACAAGUAAAAUACUAUUUAGACUUAUUAAAAGUAUUACUGUUAUUAGCAGAAAACAAACAUAAAACAUGUAACACUCACCAACAUUGUGUUGACCCUCAAAACUACAUGUAUUCUCAAGAAAUCACUAAACAGACAUUCAAUACAUACUGGAUUGACCUUGUAUACUUACUGUUGUAUUAUAUGCCUAUCUAUUAAGGUAAUUCAUGUAUUAUUGUUAUUUAUAAAAACUUCGUAUUCAAAUAUCAAGAUGGAACAUGAAUGCUAUACUGUUUAUUAUUGUACUUGUGCUAUAUAUUCAGUUUACCUAUAAUAGAUGAAUUUAGUUGCACAGCCCAACGUGUUCUGCCGCCUCGACCAGGGGUGUGAUCGAUUGGUAUCAGAGCUAAAUUGGUUAUAGAGAACUCGUAUCCUCGAAAGAGAAAUACAGCUAUAGCAACUAGAUUCUAAUAAAAGUAUUAUUAAUAUUAAUUACACUACUUCUUGGCUACUUACGAUACGAGGAAUCCGGUUUGAAGGGCCACAUAGGGUUGUUGGAUUUCAGAACGACUUAAUUGCUAAAAUGGUCCUGUCCUCCGGUGUUUCCCGUGUAGCCCUCAUAUGUACUUGGUAGUCUUAUAGUAUAAUUUUUUUAAUAAUAUUACAAACCCCACCACAAUAAUAUAUANNNNNNNNNNNNNNNNNNNNNNNNNNNNNNNNNNNNNNNNNNNNNNNNNNNNNNNNNNNNNNNNNNNNNNNNNNNNNNNNNNNNNNNNNNNNNNNNNNNNNNNNNNNNNNNNNNNNNNNNNNNNNNNNNNNNNNNNNNNNNNNNNNNNNNNNNNNNNNNNNNNNNNNNNNNNNNNNNNNNNNNNNNNNNNNNNNNNNNNNNNNNNNNNNNNNNNNNNNNNNNNNNNNNNNNNNNNNNNNNNNNNNNNNNNNNNNNNNNNNNNNNNNNNNNNNNNNNNNNNNNNNNNNNNNNNNNNNNNNNNNNNNNNNNNNNNNNNNNNNNNNNNNNNNNNNNNNNNNNNNNNNNNNNNNNNNNNNNNNNNNNNNNNNNNNNNNNNNNNNNNNNNNNNNNNNNNNNNNNNNNNNNNNNNNNNNNNNNNNNNNNNNNNNNNNNNNNNNNNNNNNNNNNNNNNNNNNNNNNNNNNNNNNNNNNNNNNNNNNNNNNNNNNNNNNNNNNNNNNNNNNNNNNNNNNNNNNNNNNNNNNNNNNNNNNNNNNNNNNNNNNNNNNNNNNNNNNNNNNNNNNNNNNNNNNNNNNNNNNNNNNNNNNNNNNNNNNNNNNNNNNNNNNNNNNNNNNNNNNNNNNNNNNNNNNNNNNNNNNNNNNNNNNNNNNNNNNNNNNNNNNNNNNNNNNNNNNNNNNNNNNNNNNNNNNNNNNNNNNNNNNNNNNNNNNNNNNNNNNNNNNNNNNNNNNNNNNNNNNNNNNNNNNNNNNNNNNNNNNNNNNNNNNNNNNNNNNNNNNNNNNNNNNNNNNNNNNNNNNNNNNNNNNNNNNNNNNNNNNNNNNNNNNNNNNNNNNNNNNNNNNNNNNNNNNNNNNNNNNNNNNNNNNNNNNNNNNNNNNNNNNNNNNNNNNNNNNNNNNNNNNNNNNNNNNNNNNNNNNNNNNNNNNNNNNNNNNNNNNNNNNNNNNNNNNNNNNNNNNNNNNNNNNNNNNNNNNNNNNNNNNNNNNNNNNNNNNNNNNNNNNNNNNNNNNNNNNNNNNNNNNNNNNNNNNNNNNNNNNNNNNNNNNNNNNNNNNNNNNNNNNNNNNNNNNNNNNNNNNNNNNNNNNNNNNNNNNNNNNNNNNNNNNNNNNUUUUUUUUAUAAAAAUAGUCCUAAUCAUUUAAUCAAAUUAACAAAAAGCCCCUAUACUUUAGUGAAGUUAAAAAUCAGCCCCCAAUAGUUUAAAUUCGUUACGAAACGGUCCCAAGAGUAUUUCAAAGUUCAAGGAUUGUGGAUUUGUGGUUUCACACAACAAGAUUUCUCAAAAGAAACCGAAUUCGAACAAAAGGAACCCACCCUUUUUAAUUUUUUAAUUAUUUCGCAAGAGGGGGAGGAAUACGUGUGCCUAUAUAUAUUUUGUUUAUAUAAAUAUAUUAUUCUUUAUGCGAGAAUAAAAUAAAUCUAAUUUAUAAAAUUGUUAUUUUAAAUUUUAACAUAGUGUUACAAGUAACUAGUAUAAACUUUUCAUAAACAUAUUUUGAAAUUUUUAUCGUGAAAUAACUAGUCUACACGAUAUAUGUUACAUGAUACAAAAAUAUAUUAUUUUUAUGUGACAUUGUAUAUUAUGACAAGCACAUUAUAACACUUUGUAGUAUUUCAAUGAUUCAAGCUAUUACUAUUCAUGUAUAUUUAUAUGUUUAAACACAUAAAGUUUAUACAUUUACAUAUGUUCAUUACUUUGAAACAUACAUCUUUAUAAAAGCAAGUACAUUACACUUUUACAUACAUACCAAGCAUACUUGGCUUUUAUAAAAUUCAUACAAUAAAAUGCACAAUGCCUAGUGACUUAAUCACAAUUAAGUUAGGGCUGAGAGUUAUUCACAAACUUUUUAGUUAAGACCUUUCUAGUGAGACGUUCUUCAUUAGCUAAGUUUAAACACUUAGCAUACCCACACUACUAUAACCGUUAAUCUUCGGAGCGAGAUACAAAUAUAUAGAUCUAUACAUGGUUGACAUCCCCACCUGCGAUUGCUAGCUACAACCUCUACCGAUCAAUCGAAGUGGGUGAUAAGUAUCUACGAUCGUUACUGCAACGUCCAAUGAAGUGUUGUAGGGGGUAGACUCAGUCACAUAGCUCGGUUAUAGGACUUACUACAAACAUUAACUAGAACCUCUCUCUCUCUCUCUCACUCACUACCAACCAUGGGCUUGGUUGCUUUCAAAACUAUUUUAAUUAUGGAAUUACUUAUGUAACAUAACAGUUUGGUUUUAAAGGAUAUUCAAAGAUUCAUUACAAUCACAAUUUAAAGUAUGGAUUUUCUUAUACAAAAAUACAUUUUGGCUUUUAAAGACUCAUUACAAACAUUGUUUUAACUAUUGAUAUACAUACAAGUAAAAUACUAUUUAGACUUAUUAAAAGUAUUACUGUUAUUAGCAUAAAACAAACAGAAAACAUGUAACACUCACCAACCUUGUGUUGACCCUCAAAACUAUAUGUAUUCUCAGGAAAUCACUAAACAGACAUUUAAUACAGACUGGAUUGAUCUUGUUUGCUUGCUAUUGUAUUAUAUGCCUAUAUGUUAAGGCAAUUCAUGUAUUAUUGUCAAUUAUAAAAACCUUGUAUUCAAAUAUCAAGAUGGAACAUGAAUGCUAUAUUGUUUAUUAUUGUACUUGUACUAUAUAUAUUCAGUUUACCUGUGAUACAUGAGCUUAGUCGCAUAACCCUGCGUGUUCUGCCGCCUCGGCCGAGGGUGUGACAAAUUGGUAUCAGAGCUAAAUUGGCUAUAGAGAACUCGUAUCCUCAAAAGAGAAAUAUAACUAUAACAAGUAGCUUCUAAUAAAAGUAGAGUUUUUGGUAAUAAUAGGGUAGUUUUGAGAAAGGUUGGUAAAAAUAGGGCAGUUUUUUUUUCUUUGUAGAAAUGGGUCUUUUUUUUUCUUGUGGCUCCGUUUUUUAUUUUAGAAUUCAAUAAACAUUGAAUGUUACAUUUUUAGUCCUCUCACUUAAAUCAUUAAUUUUUUUGUUAGCUAUUAUUAACAAAAACUUUUGUUUUUACUCCUUUUAUUAAAAAUAUAUAAUUAAAUUCUAAUUAAUAUUUUGAAUAACUUAUACCAUUAAUAUAAAACUCACAAAUACCUAUGAAUAAAUUUCAAUAUUUAAUAUAUUUCAUUUAUUUGACCAAUUUUAUUAUAACUAAUAAAUAUAUAAAUAUUGUUGUUAUUUUAUAUUUUUGUUAUUUUUUGAAAAUUCCAAAAUAUCUGUUCAUGAUAGCAUACCUGCAAAAGCCUGUUAAAAAUUGUUGUCACUAUUCAUGAAAACUCAAAGAAAGCAAAUGACUGAAUUGUCUAAUCAAUUCAUUUUUUGUAAUAAAAUCCUCUUUUUAUCAUCAAUAUUUUUUCAUCCAUUUCAACAUAUAGAAUUCCCCUCUUCAUUUCUUUAUCUUUCCUUCAUUUGAGGUACGUCUUUUAUCUUAUGAUUUAUUGGUAUUGUUAUAUUCUGGUGUAUUUAUAGUAUGAGUCUAGAUCGUCCGUUUAUGAUUAAUUUGUACUGGGGUGGUAACAUUUUAUAUGAAAAUGGUUUUGUAAAGGGAGAUCAUUCAACUUUGACCACUUCAAAUGUUGUUAGGCAUAAACUGCAGUAUGAAGAAUUUAAGGAUUUAGUUUAUGAACACGUUGGAGUCAAAAAACAACAUAUAAGUUGAAUAUCUCACUAUGCUAUGAUUUUAGUGGGAAAUCUUAUAUUUCACGAAUCAUAAGUGACUCAAGUCUAGACAUGAUGUAUUAUUUGGCUGAGAAUGAUGAAAAUUACUACGCCCAAGUUAUUAUCGUAGUAGAAAAAAUUAAUCAAGAACAAGUAAUGCCUCCUACUAUAACCAGUUAUGUAGAUCUUCUAUGUAAUUUUGAAGUGUCAGAGCGUAAUACAUCGGAUGUAGCAUUUCCUUUACCUAAUGAUGUUAGAUUUGAAGUAGAAAAUGACUUUGGAUUUGAUGAAGCUAACUCACAAUUUAGUGAAGAUACUAGUACUGAAUUAUUCAAUAAUGUUGGGGAAGAUUCCGAUGAUGAUGUUUGUGAAACUCGGGUUAUGAGAUUUAUGAACGAUGUUGGAGAUGUAGGCGACGAUGACAUAACCGAUUUAGAAGACAACAUUCAUAUAGAUGUUUGGAAGGAAUCAGAAAACAAAAUAAGGUUAGGAAUGCAAUUUGAAAGUAAGGUACAAGUCAAGAAAGCAGUAACACUUUGGUCGAUCAAUCAUAAUAGAGAGUUUAAAGUGUACGAAAGUAAAAGUAACUUAUGGGUAGCAAAGUGUAAGACUCUAGGAGAUGAAGGAAAAAGUUCAGCUACUAUGAACUACACAUCACGUUGUGCAUGGUAUGUUCGUGCAAUUAAGAAGAAAAAUCAUCAAACGUGGAAGAUUACACGUUGGGUGGACGCUCACAAUUGCUUUGGAUCGUGUAUUGGAAAUAAUAAUAGAAGUUUAAACUCUUUAAAUAUUUCCUCAUACAUCCUACAUUCAAUUGAAAAAGAUGUUGCUUAUCCAGUGAAACAUAUACAAUCAGAUAUUAAAAACCUUCUGAACGUUGAUGUUUCUUACUGGAAGGCAUGGCAUUGAAGGAGAAAAGCCAUAGAGGCUGUUUAUGGAACAUGGGAGAGUAAUUUUGAUGAGUUGCCUAAGUACAUUGCAGCUUUGCAAGCUUCGAAUCCUAAUACAGUUGUGAAGUGGUUUCAUAAACCAAAUGACUCCUCAAAUCCUGCAACAUUUAAGUAUGUUUUUUGGGCUUUUGGACCUGCUAUUGAUGCAUCCCGUCUAUGCCGGCCUGUUAUUUCAGUUGAUGGUUGUCAUUUGAAGGGUUCAUAUAAGGGGAAAUUGCUUGUUGUUGUCACAAAAGAUGCUAACAAUAACAUAUUACCUAUCGCAUAUGCUAUUGUCGAUGAAGAGUCAUCACACAGUUGGUGUUGGUUCUUUUACCAACUCAGACAUUUUGUUGCUCAAGAUAGACAAUUAUGUGUGAUUUCGGAUAGGCACCAAGGAAUAAUCCAUGCAAUGGAAAACCUACAAGAAUGGAAAGAGCCAUUAGCAUACCAUCGAUUCUGUCUUCAACACAUUAGAAGUAAUUUCAUGAAAAGGUACAAGAACUUUAGUCUUAAAAAAUUAUGUUGGAAUAUUGGGAGCACCACACAGAAAAGGAAGUUUGUUACAAAUAUGAGAGAAGUCAAAAAACUCAAACUCGAAGCUUGGCAGUAUUUAAAACAAAUCAAUAAAAUCAAUGGUAUCUUGACAACAAAUAUCUCUGAGAGUAUGAACAAUGCGUUACGGGGAGCAAGACAUCUACCGAUUAGGGUGUGUAUUGACCUUACAUUCAACAGAAUCGUGCAACUUUUUAGAAAGCAUAGUAAUGUUGCAAUGAAUUGCAAUACACCUCUACCAUCACAUAUGUGGCAUCUAUUUUGUAACCGGGACACUCGUGCACAAAGCCAUAAUUUAACCAAGUUUCAUUACAAUGACGACGUCUACAGAAUUGUUACAAGUUACGGAUAAAUGGCACCGGAGGAAAUACACAUACUGUCCAUUAUUUUCAACAAACAUGCACAUGUGGAAAAUGGCAAAUGGAAAGAUUCCCGUGUUCUCAUGCUCUUUCAGUUUGUCGGUAUAGAGGGGAUAACCCUCUUUCUGUUGUGAAUAAGGUGUACACUACAACGACAUAUAAACAUCAGUAUAAUUCUGCUUUUGUACCGCUUUCUCAUGUUGAUUAUUGGUUAGAGUCAGAUUGGAAGAUUCAAGCAGAUUACUCGAAACUCUCUGUUCAUCAAGGUCGGAAACGUUCAAAUAGUUUUCAUAAUGAGAUGGACAUUCGCCACCCCGAAGAACCUCGCAAAUGUGAACUAUGCCACCAACCUGGUCAUAAUCGAAGAAAUUGUUCAAAUUCUCAACCAAGAUACAAUGCCAUGUGAAGUAUGUACUUUUAUUAAUUUAUGUUUAAAUGUGUGCUUAAUUUGUAUUGUUGCUUAAUGCUUAUUUAGUAAUGUAAUGUCAUAUUUAAAUGCUUUUGUAAUUUUGUAACAAUGUAAUAUAUUCAAUAUUGAUGUUUUAUUUGAAGGUGUUGAUUAGAUUUAUUUAAAAAUGUAAUUCCCUAAAAAUAAUACACGAACAUAUUUUUAAAUAAAGUAAUCAAUGUAUAAUAUAUAAUAACAAUAAUAUUCAUAUAUUUAUUAAUUAUAAUACAAAUCGAUCGAAUAAAUGCAAUAUAUUAAAUAUUGAAAUUUAUUCAUAGAUAUUUGUGAGUUUUAUAUUAAUGGUAUAACUUAUUCAAAAUAUUAAUUAAUUAGAAUUUAAUUAUAUAUUUUUAAUAAUAGGAGUAAAAUCUAAAGUUUUUGUUAAUAAAAGUUAACAAGAAAUUAAUAAUGUAAGUUAGAGGACUAAAAAUGUAACAUUUAAUAUUUGUUGAAUUCUAAAAUUAAGAAACGGAGGUGAAUCGGUGGGGCCCUAAGAAAAAAGACUCAUUUCUACAAACAAAAAUAAAACUGCCCUAUUUCUACAAACCAUUCUCAAAACUACCCUAUUAUUACCAAAAACUCAAUAAAAGUAUUAUGAAUAUUAAUUACACUACUUCUUGGUUACUUACGGUACGAGAAAUAUGGUUUUAAGGGCCGCAUAGGGUUGUUGGAUUUUAGAACGACUUAAUUGCUAAAAUGGUCCUACCCUCCGGUGUUUCCUGUCUAGCCCUCGUCUUUACUCGGUAGUCUUAGAGUAUAAAACAAAAUUUAAUAAUAUUACAAACCCCACCACAAUAAUAUAUAUAAAUUAUAUAUACCUUGACCCAUGAUGAGAACACUUAAUAAAACUCUAACACACCUCCAACCAAAACUACCAACUCAACCCUUUAGGUCAAACACCUCAAUUAAGGUUAGUACGGUACAUAAUUCAUACCAUAAAUAAACCUGGAACGUAUGCCUAUGUUAUUUAUGGUCGGGCCGGUGAACAACCAAACUUGAGCAAGAAGUUUGACAGAUUACAAUGGUCGAAAGUUCUAGAGAUUGAAGGAUGUUCUCAAGAUUCGCUAUAGAAACCUAGUACCUUAGAAACCUUAUAUCAACCCCAAAACAACAUAUACAAUAUAAAAAUACUUAAAAAUCUAGGAUAACAUUCAAAUUUUCCUAGUUCGCCUAAAACCAAAGAAGAUCAAAGAAUUAAUAGCACUGCUACCAUCGUAGCAGAGAAACCCAUAGUUCCUAAUCGAUCAUUCAGUAGUGUCCAAACUUCUCUCUCUAUCAUUUGAAAUUGGUAGGAUUUCAACUCUCUCUCUCUCUCUCUCUCCAUAAUUUGGAAACCUAUAGGAUUUUUAGAAUCGAUUACUCUUUAUAAUUUGGAAAUCUGGAGGAUUUCUAGAAUCAAUCACUCUCUAUAAUUUGGAACUUUCCCAUGAAAGGAUUGGAUGUGACUGCUUACACCUCCCGAUUUAACGACCUCACAAACCUUAGCCCAUGAAUGGUAAACCCGGAAAACAAGGAGACCAAAAAGUACAUCUGAGUAUUAGCAUCACCAGUUCAACGUCUGUUUGCUGCGUCCAGACCCACUACCUUCGAUAGUGCUAAGCAAUUCGCCUAUCAAUUGACUGACCAUUGUAUCCGUCAAGGUACCAUAAUCCUACAAAUCGAAAGGAACUAGACUAGGAGUACAAAGAGGAAGUUCCAUGGAAACUCAAAUGGGAGCUCCAAUAAUCACAAAACCAAUCAAAAAAUUACGGUUGUGUACUCCGUACUCAUAAACACUCCCUUCCAUCAAAGCCCUACUCUGGGUAUUUAGCCCUACUAUACCAAGUGCAAUUUCCACCAUGUCGGAAAUUGCAUGGUCUGCAACAAUUGUAACUUAAGAGGUCACACCUCUAGGUACUGCAGAAAGGCCCAAACAAAAAAACUUCAACCACCGUUGCAAGAGGAAAUCAAAAUUGCUUCGAAUACAAUCAGCCAGGGUAUUUCAAGAAGGACCCCUCGAAACAGAAGAAUCAGGGUGAAAAACGAAGAGCAUUUGUGAGAGGUGUUGGAGAUGAUCUCUAGGAACCAACUAUGGUUACUAAUAUGUUUUCUAUCAACAAUAUUUAUGCUUCCAUAUUAUUUGAUACUCGUGCCGAUAGAAGCUUUAUUUUUCCCUAAGUUUAGAAGCUCGAUUAACCAUUAAUCAUGAAAACUAUAAAAAGAUUUCACUAUAGAAGUAGCAAACGAACGGUUAGAAAGCACUUUGGAAAUACUCACAACUUUCCUCCUUACCCCGUAUAACCACGUCUUUCAUGUCAACCUAAUACCUAUGACCAUCGGAAGUUUCGAUGUGAUCAUUGGAAUGGACUGGUUAUCACUUCAUCAAGCAAAUAUAUUAUGUCACAAAAAGUCGUCCGACUACCUUUACCAAACAACAAAGCCAUCAAGACUUAUAGAUGCAAAUCAGGAAAGAACUUAGGAGUCAUCAUGUAACGCCUGCAGAUUCGGGCUAGUCAAUUUAGAGACAAUGAGCGUCAAUAAUGACAUUUUUGAUAUAUGAUAAUUUAGAAUAAAUAAUCUUGACCAAGUGAUAGCAUAUGUCACAAGGUUUCCGUACAUAUAAAGAACGCUGAAAUCCGAGUUAUAACAAAGAAGUUAUGACUCGUCGAAGUUUUACGGCUAAACCGACACGACACCGGGAAUCGUAAAAAGUGAAUUUGCGAUAAAAUACUUUUUAGCCUUAGCGAUCUAAACAAAAUUCGUAGUAUAUGUUAAACCAAGAGUGUGCAUAAAAAGAACGUCCAAAUCUGACUUCGUAUGAGGAAGUUAUGAUUUUUCUAAGAUUUAGCAUUGUAGUGCACAACCCGAAAUUUGAAUUUUAGAUCGUUCAAUUUUUAGCCAAAAUAAUCUAAAUGAGAAAUGAAGAUAUCAUUAAUAGGAGUUAAACGAUAAAAAGACAUUCGAAAACAGAGGUCGUAUUGCGAAAGAUAUGGACGAAGCUUAGUCCCUACUCUUCGAGUGUGGCGAAUUCGAUACAGUUUUGUAAAUCUGAGAUAGAGUGAGAAUUAGCCGACGAGAUAUAUAUGAAAGUUGUAGUACUCGUAAAUACCAACACGUGGAUAUAAAGAAUGUCGAUAAUAGAGCUCUUAUGCGAAAGAUAUGGACGAAACUUAGUCCUUACUCUUUGAGCGCGAAAGAUUUCAUACAGUUUUGCAAAUCGGAGAUAGAAUGAGAAUUAGCCGACGAGGUCUAAAUGAAAGUUGUAGUAAUCGUAAAUACCAACACGUGAAUAUAAAGAACGUAGAAAACAAAGCUCGUACUCGGAAGAUACGGACGAAGUUUAGGGGCUACUCUACGACAAAAUCCCUAUAAAUAAAGGAUGAAUCCUUCAUACUUUCUUCACACCAUAACCUUUCUUUCUCUCUCUAACUUCUCUCUAGCCUCCUUAAACCCCUCCCAAGUCUAGGAAACCUCCCUAGCACGAGAAGGAAGCCCCGGAGCGCCCGAAAGCUCCGAGAAGAAAAGCUUUUGGCUCGGAAACGCUGCUCCAGCGAAGCUCGAUUUUUUUUAAUAAAAACCUGCUGUAAGUGAGCUACGCCUACGCUAUUUUUAAUAUAGCUUCUAAUUAAUUAUAGUAACAUUAUUAGGACCUUAAAAUAAUUAUUUGGGCUAUUAUUAUGAGUUAUAUAAGAGUGUUGUUUAACGCUUAUAUGAUAGUAAUAAUAGCUAGACUAUUAAUUAGUCGCGGUUAACGUUAGACUAAACCCUAGCGGUAUUGAUACUAGGUUUUGUCGAAGGAAAUUGUUUUAAGAGUAACGAAGCGUUGUCUAAAUUCGGAAUCACCACCUUACCAAGUGAGUGCAUAGUUACUAUCAUCUUACACAUAGGUAUGAAGUAUUUUAUAUAAAUUACGUGCUAUGUGUGUAUAAUGUCUGAAUACUUGUUGUCUAUGCUGGAUGAAACAUUUUAUACAUGUUUUAAAUGAUCUAAACUGUAUAUGUAUUUUAUAUCAACAAAAUGUGUUGGGUAAAACAUGGGUAGAUUUGAGGUGAGAUAAAUGAUGAGCGAUGAAAGAUGAGAUAAAGGAUGAGCGAUGAAAGAUGAGAUGAAAGAUGAGCAAUGAUACAUGAGUGAUAAAAUAUGGUGUGAAGCGAUGAGCCAAAACAAUGAGCCAAACGAUGACCCAAGUGAUGGCCCCAUCAUCUAGCAGAGUAUGGAUGACAACCAUGGACUAUUCUAGACAGUCUGGUGGAACACUAACAGCCUCACAACCUGUAGGUGUUGUGAACGAUGUGUUCACCCGGUGUACUCUAAAAAGCCAUUGACAGGUAUUGCGAGUUGACUCUCGAAAACGAUACUGUCAAUAAAUGAGAUAAACCCUGGCGACUAUGCAGACUUAGUGCCGAUUCCUUAGGAUACUCCUUAGGAAUGAACGAACGAGGAAUAACUGAAUCUUACGGUAGAUCCUUAAGAUUAAAGAAGAUAAUGUUGAUGGGUAAUUGGGUUGAUUGCUUGAUGUUUAACAUAAUAAUUAUAUUAUUGUGGGUUGAAAACCCUAUGUACUCACCAGGUUUCCCAACCCGACCCACUCAGUUUAUUUAUAUCACAGGUGUUGAUAUGAAGUAACAUUACACUGAGAGAUUAAGGAGAUAUAAAUCAUUAGUGAUAAUGAAUGUAAGUUCUGUUUAUGCUUAUUUUACUAUAUUGACGAUGACAUCCCAAAUGUUUUAAAAUGAAUAAAAAUACUUUUCUUUAGAAAUGCUUUGAUAACGUAUUUAUCAUGUUUUGCUGGGAUCAAAUUCCGCAACAUUUUUAUUAAAAGAGGUACUCUGAUUUUUAUAAAGCAUAAACAAAAUCGGUCUUUUUUGGCCGUGAAAAUGGGGAUGUCACACAUCACUUGCAUGAAGGCAAGGAAGCAUUGCAGAAGAGAUGCUUCACUUUCUUGGUCCACGUGGUGGAUAUGGAAAGACAAGGGUAAGGAAAUCAAAGACAUACCGCUAAUGUGCCAUUACCCGGGCGUAUUUCCAAAAUAUCUAACAUAGUACCUCUAGUCAGAUAGGUCGAAUUCCGAAUCGACCUAAUCUUGUGUGCAACACUAAUGGCAAGAUCUCCUUAUCGCCUAGCUCCAUCAAAAACGCAAGAACCAUCCAAUCAACUUCAAGAACUUCUUGACAAAGGCUUUAUCCGGCCAAGCAACUCUCCAUAAGGAGCUCCGUUAUUGUUUGUGAAAAAGAAGGAUGAAUCGUUUAGGAUGUGCAUCGACUAUCGAGAAUUAAACAAACUCGCCAUCAAAAACUAAUACCCACUUCCCGAGGAUCGAUGACCUAUUCGACCAACUACAAGGAUCCUGUUACUACUAAAAGAUCCAUCUAAGAUCCGACUAUCGUCAACUCAAAUUUCAAGACACAUACAUUCGAAAGACGACAUCCUGGACUUGGUAUGGUCACUAUGAGUUUCUGGUUAUCCCAUUUCGACUGACCAACGACGCCAACCAAAUUAUGCCAAUUCUUAAGGCUUGCAGGUUAUUAUUAAAGACUCAUCGAUAACUUCUCCAAAAUAGCCAAGCCUCUCAACGCUUUAUCCUAGAAAGACAAAAAGUUCGAUUGGGGAGAUAGUCAAGAGUCUACCUUCUGGAAAUUGAAGCAAUUCUUGUGCAGUGCACUAAUUUUGUCUCACCCAGAAGGAACAUAAGACUUUGUAGUAUUCUACGACGCCUCGCACCAAGGGUUAUGAUGUGUACUGAUGCAAAAAAAAUAAUGUCAUUGCAUAUACAUCCAUACAACUUAAUCCAAACAAGACCAACUACACUAUCCAUGACUUAGAGUUAAGAGGUCUAGUGUUUGCCUUCAAGAUUUGGAUACACUACCUAUACGGGAUGAAGUGUGUCAUGUCCACCAACCGUAAAAGCCUUCAACACAUAUUCAACCAGAAGGAGCUCAAGAUAAGACAAUGAAGGUGGGUAGAAUUACUAAAUGACUACAUAUGUGAAAUUCAUUAUCAUCCUGGAAAACCAAAUGUCAUGAUAGAUCCAUUAACUAGGAAAGAGAAACUAAAGCCACUUUGGGAUAAAGCCUUAACCCUAACCACCCACUCCAAUCUCACCACCCAAAUUCAUGAUACUCAGCUGGAAGCACUCAAAACCUAAGAAUAUCGUAGAAGAAAACCUACGAUGUAUUGACAAACAAUUUGACCUCAAGGGAGACGGAACAUGAUAUUUCAUAGUUUGGUGAAGUCAAGAGUCUAGUUUUAAAUGAAGCUCAUAAGUCAAGAUAUUCAAUACAACCUGGAUCAGACAAGAUGUAUCUUGAUCCCAAGAAGCUUUAUUGGUGGCCCAACAUGAAGGCAGAGAUUUCCACAUAUGUCAGUAAAUGCUUGACCUUCUCCAAAGUCAAAGCAAAGUACCAAAAGCCAUCAGGACUAGUAUAAUAACUGUCAAUCCAAUAAUGUAAAUGGAAACAGUUAACCAUGGACUUCAUAACAAAGUUGCCAAAGACAUCAUGCGGCUAUGACUUCGUAUUGGUUAGUAGUUUACCAUUUCACCAAUUCCGCCCAUUUCCUAGCCAUCGAAGAGACCCACAAGAUGAAGAAAUUUAACAUGACCUAUCUCAACAAAAUAGUCAGACUGCUUGUUAUACCAAUAUCUUUUAUAUCAGACCGAGAUAGUAGAUUCACUUCUAAAUUUAGGCGAUCAUUACAAGGGUUCCUAGGAAAUAAACUCGAUAUGAGUACAACAUACCAUCCUCAAACAGAUGGACUGAACAAAAGAAAAAUACAGAAUCUAGAAGAUAUGCUUCGUGCUUAGGUAAUAGACUUCAAUAUUUCAUGAUAUACUCACCGCGUGUUAGAUGAGUCCUCAUAUAACAAUACUUAUCACAUUUGCAUAAAGGCUACUCCAUUCAAGACGUUAUACAGACACAUAUGUCGUUCUCCUAUAUGUUGGAUAGAAUUGGAGAUACCCAACUAGAUAAAAAGCAUGGUAUAGAUACUCCACUGACUAGCCCUGAGAUCAUUCAAGAAACAAUAGAGAAGAUAGCUCAGAUAAAGGAACGAUUAAAGGCCACACAUAUUCCGUAGAAAAGCUAUGCUGACGUAAGAUGCAAAUCCUUAGAAUUUUGUAACAUCCUGAAGUUCAGGUACUUCUAAAUUCAUCCUUAUAAUUCUAUUUCACGUCAAAUUGGUCCCUAAGUCCAAGAGUUAUGCUUUGAAGCCCUAAUGGCAAUUUCGUAAUUUAGACACAAUGAGUACGCCAAACGUACAUGUGAGUAUGUUGAGCGUACUAGGGUGCACCCUAGUGCCCCGCACGUAAACUUAUGUACGCGGGGCGUACUAAUGUUAGGAGGAAGCCCUAAUUUUUAGGUUUUGAGGGUAUUUAAGCAACACUAUGGCUCAUUUUUCCACACCCUUUCAGUCACCACCUCCUUUGAGACAUUUUUGCAAACCCUAACCCUUAAUUGUGUGUUUUGGAGCUCAAGUGUGUGUUUUUGGUGUAUUGAAGGAUGAAGAAGAUUCUUGGAGAAUCCUUGGUGUGGGGGCAACUUGUUGAUCUAGGAUUCUUACCUUCUCGAGAAGCUCCAGAAGAUAUAAAACUUUGAUCUUGACUUGUAUUUAUUAAAGAUCUUGUCAUGAGAAAUUUAUGUGUUUUUAGUCCCUUUCUUGUGGUCAAUGUGAAUCUUGGAGUACGCUAAGCGUACCUACAGAGUAUGCCCCGUGUACUCAAACUGGGUCAGCUCAGUGGGUUAACUCAGUUGGGUUGACUCGAGUAGGUUGACUCAGUUGACUUAAGGGUUUGACUAGUUGAAUUUGACCAUGUUUGACUAGGUUGGACGUUGGGGUAUUUUGGGUACUUUGGGAGUUUGAUGGAAUUGGUCAUUUGGUGGAAAUAGGUAUCGGUUUCAGAGCUAAGAUUCAGAUUUGGGUCUUAUUAGUUCAGUUUAAUUUGCGGGGUGAGUUUUCGUCAUUGUACUUACGGGUGGAAGGCACCAAGGCCAUCUCUUUGGAUUGUUAUACUAGUUUAUCGUAUGAUUGUGUACUAUAAUGAUCAGUUAGAGUUGUAUCCUAGUAGAUAGGAUGAUGAUAUGCUUAGGGAUCGAUAAGAUAUGUCUGUUUGUUUAUUGGUUGGUUAUUUUUAUGCUUGUUUGUUAUAUACGUGUGUCGACACGGUAUAUGUGUAGUUGGGUUGAGGUGGUCCUGGUUUGUGCUGAAGGCCAACAGACCUAGGGCGUCCCGGAUAGAAUGAAGGCCAAUAGGGUGUACUAGUCAAGAUGAAGGCACAGAGAACGGUCUAGAUAGGCUAAUGCGCGAGUGUGGGAAGUGCUUUAAGGUUUAUAAUGGGGCUUGACGAUCAGGAGGUGGGUGCCAUAAAUAUGAAAAGGAUGAGCAUUAUAUAAGGGACUGCCAGUAGUUGGCCCCAACGCUAAGUACCAGGAUUUGCUAUCAUUAUGAUCAGGUAGGCCAUGUUAAGGUCAACUGUACAUUGCUUGCCCCCAAGCCGACACAUGCCCCGGCGCCAGCUACAUUGAGGAUCACACGUCGGAGCCAAGAGAGGGCGGAGCCCCCGAUGCCUCAAGGUCAUGCUUUUUAGCUCACUUUCAAAGAGGGAAGAGUAGAUCCAGAUGUUGUGAUUGGUAUGUUUCUAUCUGUUAUCUUGUUGAUUACGUUUUAUGUUAUGCUUAUAUGUGUGCCUCUGUUAGGUAGGUUCCUAGUGAACUCUUUGCCUGCUCUUGUGUUGUUUGACUUGGGUGCGGUUUGGUCCUUUGUAUAUCUUUUGUUAAGUAGAGACUUUGAUAUCCCUAUAGGGGAGUUAGAGUGUCCGUUACGGAUUUAUAUCGCCAACAAACACGGGGUUUCUACGUCAUAUUUGUAUUAGGGUUGUGUAUUGGAGAUCUUCAGGGUGCCUUACCCGAUCAAUGUGAUCCUUAUUGCCAUGAGGGAUGUUUGUGUGAUGGUCGGCAUGGAUUGGCUGAGCUGGUUUGGUGCUAUGAUUGAUUAUGAGGGCCAGCGAGUGGUAGUUCGAACCCCAAGUAGGGGCGAACUGGUUAUCUAUGGAGAGGGCACUAGGAUGGGUUCAAGGUUUUGUUUAGCGGCCAGGGCUCAUUAAUAUAUUCAACACGUUUGUGUGGUCUACUUGGCUUAUUUGGUGGAUACACGUGUUGGGAAUCAUAUUUCACUUUAUAAGGUCCUGGUGGUCAGGGAGUUUGCAGACAUAUUCCUGGAGGAUUUGCCUGGUGUACCUCCCGAGAGGAAGUUCGAGUUCAGGAUUGACCAUGUGCCAGGUGUAGCCCUGAUUGCCAAGGCGUCAUUCCAUUUGGCACCGCCUGAGAUACUGGAGUUGUCGUCUUAGAUGCAAGAGCUCCUUGGAAAGUAGUUCAUCAGAUCGAGCAGUUCUCCAUAGGGAGCAUCGAUACUAUUUUUCAAGAGGAAUGAUGGUUCAUACUGGAUGUGCAUUGAUUACCAGGAUUUGAACAAGUUAAAGGUGAAGAACUGUUAUUCCCUCCCGCAGAUUAAUGACCUCUUUGAUCAGUUUCAGGGUGCAUCUUGGUUCUCCAAGAUAGAUCUAAGGUCUGGGUAUCAACAGGUUAGAGUAAGGGAGGAGGACGUGGAGAAGACUGUGUUUCAAACUCGUUAUGAGCAUUACGAGUUCGUGGUGAUGCCAUUUGGGCUCACCAAUGUGCAUGCAGUGUUUAUAGAUUUGAUGAAUCAGGUAUGCAGGCUGAUGGUUGAUCGUUUUGUUAUUGUGUUUAUCGAUGAUAUCUUGGUGUAUUCCAAGAUGAGAGAGCAACAUGAGGAGCAUCUUCACAAGAUUCUGGGGGUUAUGUGACGAGAAUGUCUAUAUGCUAAGUUCUCGAAGUGCGAGUGUUGGUUACGAGAGGUCCAGUUCCUUGCGCACCUCGUUAACCAGGAUGAGAUUUUGAUCGAUCUGGCCAAGAUCGAAGCUGUAAUGCAGUGGGCGGUUCCGAAGUCUCCCUCGGAUUCAGGAGUUUGUUAUCCAGGGUACUAUCGGAGAUUCAUUCAGUAUUUCUCCCAGAUUGUAGUAUCUCUCUUUUCUAACAAGCAAGGGGUGGAUUCCUGAUGGGGCCCUAAGCAAUAGUUGGCAUUUGAGACCCGUCGGCAGAGGCUAUGUAAGGCCCCAGUUUUGACCCUCCCAGAGGGAAUUGAGGAUUUCAUGGUAUUCUGUGAUGCUUCCAUCACUAGUCUAUGGGCACUCCUCAUGUAGAGAGGAGUGGUGAUAGCUUAUGCUUCACGGAAGUUGAAGUCGCACGAUAUGCGAUAUCCUACCCAUCAUAUGGAGUUGGAGGCAGUGGUUUCCGGUCGAAAACAUGGGAUUACUAAAGGUCUCAUGUUGGAAAGGUGUGAUACACUUCUGGAAGAGGGGGAAGUUGGGCCCCCGGUAUAUUGGGCCUUUUCGGGAGAUUUCCAGGGUAGGUAAGGUUGCUUACAAAUUGGAUCUUCCUAAGGAGCUCGGUCAGAUUCACUACACUUUCCAUGAUUUGCAACAGCAAAAGUGCAUAUUGGAUGAGGUGGCAGUGGAUUCCUUGGAUGAUAUUCUGGUCGAUGAUCACCUGAACUAUGUUGAGAGGCGGGUGACUAUCCUGGAAAGGAAGGUGAAGGUUAUGCAUAAUAAGGAAGUACCUUUGGUAAAGGUACGGUAGCAGCACCAGAGGGGCUCCGAGUAGACCUGGGAGCCGAAGGCUGAGAUGCUGGAGUAGUAUCUGGAUUUGUUCACUACAUCAGAAUUUGAGGAAGAAUUCUAGUUCAAGUGGGGGAGAAUUGUAACAUCUCGGAGUUCAUGUACUUCUAAAUUCAUCCCUAUAAUUUUAUUGCAUGUCAAAUUGGUCCCACUAAGUCUAAGAGUUAUGCUUUGAAGCCCUAGUGGUAGUUUCAUAAUUUGGGCAGGAGGAGUAUGCCAAACGUACAUGUGUGUACAUGGAGCAUACUAGGUCAUAGUGUACACUUAUGUACGCGAGGCAUACAAAUUUCAGGAGGAAACCCUAAUUUUUAGGGUAUAAGGGGUAUUUAACCAACAUUAUGGCUCGUUUCUCCACACAUUUUCAGCGUCCACCUCCUUUGAGAUGUUUUUGCAAACUGUAACCCUUGAGUGUGUGUUUGGGAGCUCAAAUGUGUCUUCUUGGUGUAUUGAAGGAAGAAGAAAAUUCUUAGAGAAGCCUUGGUGUAGGAGCAACUUGUAGAUCUGGGAUUCUUACCUUCUUGAGAAGCUCCAGAAGCUAUAAAGCUUUGAUCUUGACCUGCAUUUCUUUAAGAUCUUGUCAUGAGAAAUUUAUGUGCUUUCAGUCAUUUUCUUGGCCUUAAUGAGUAUGAGCUACUCUAAGACCAAAGGAUAUGUCCUUUCAUAAGAAUUGAGGUGCAUUAAGUCAUAAAAAUGCUAUCUUGGCUCAUUUGGUGCAUACAUGCAAGUUAUAGAGGCCUUAAGUGGUUAAGACAAACUAGGAUCUUGGUUUUGGGACUUAAUAAUACAUGCAUCACCAAAAAGUUGGAAACUUAAUGAUUUGGAACACCCUUUUAGGUUUGGAUCUGAAAUUGGACGUUUGGACUUGUUGAAUUAAGCACUUAAUAAGGAUUUUGGGAGGUGCGAGGGUACGCCCUGCGUACAAGGACGUAAGCCCUGUGUACUCGGUCAAUCACCUCAAUGGUGGUCAAUGUGAGGCUUGGAGUACGCUAAGCGUACCUCCAGAGUAUACCCUGCGUACUCGCAUUUGGUCAGCUCGGUGGGUUGACUCAGUUGAAUUUGACCGUGUUGAACAAGUUUGACCGUGGGAGUAUUUUGGGUAUUUUGGGAUUUUGAUGGAAUUCAUCAUUUGGUGGAAAUAGCUAUUGGUUUGAGAGAUGAGAUUCGGAGUCGGGCCUUAUCAUUUCAGUUCAGUUUGCGAGGUGAGUUUCCUUACUAUAGUUAUGGGUCGAAGGAACCAAGGUCGGCCCUUUGGAUUGUUAUCCUGGUUUAUCGUAUGAUUGUGUAUUGUAGUGAUCUGCUAGAUCUAUAUCAGGUAGAUAGGAUGAUGCUAUGAUUAGGGAUGUAUAAGAUCUGUCUAUUUGUUUAUUGGUUGGUUAUUUGUAUGCUUGUCUGUUAUAUAUGUGUAUCGACACGGUGUAUCCGUGGUUGGGUUGAGAAGGUCCUACUUUAUGCUGAAGGCCAACAGACCCUGGGUGUCCCAGAUAGAGUGAAAACCAGUGAGGAGUACCAGUUAGGUUGAAGGCUUGGAGAAUGGUCCAGAUAGGCUAAAGUCUCGGUGUGGCGUACCAGUCAUGAUGUUGGUUAUGUGAGCGUACCAGGUAAACUCUAGGCUGGUGGGGCGUUCCAGUCAUAAUCAAGGCUCUAUAUACAUGUUGUUUUUUGUUAUUGUUAUGAUUAUGUGUUGUGUUGGUAUUUUGGGGGAAACUCACUAAGCUUUGGGCUUACAGUUUUGGGUUAUGUUUCAAGUACCUCAGAUGAUCGCGGAAAGGCAAAGGCAUGAUCGUGCACCUCCUCGUGUGUUUGUCUUAUGAUUUUUGGAAAACUAUGAUAUUAAACAUUUUUUGAAAAAUAAAUUUUCAACAAUGAUGAUUUGUGUGAUGGUUUAAAUGUUUAAAUUUUUCAUGAGUUUUAUAGACGUUAUAAAUUUAAAAUAAGAGAUAGUGUCCUACUAAAGGCCGCAAGAUAGAAAGGUAUCAAUUAGAUUUGGAAAACAAUGUAAACUAAACCCCCAUUACAUCAGACCUAUUUAAAUCUUGAAAAGGGUUGGUCCAAUGGCUUACAAACUCAAGUUAUCUCAAGAACUCGACAAAGUUCAUGACACCUCCCACAUAUGUAAUUUCUAAAGUGUCCCUCUAGUAAGAAUCAUAUCUUUCCUCUUGAUGAGAUCCAAGUCAACACUAAACUUCACUUCAUGAAGGAAUCAGUGGAGAUCAUGGAUCGAUAAAUUAAAAGCAUUAAACAAAGUCGCAUACCUAUAGUAAAAGUCCAAUGGAACUCUUGUAGAGAGCUGAAGUUUACAUGGGAACGUGAGGAUCAAAUGAAACAAAAGUAUCUGCAACUAUUCAACGAUGCUCCCACCAAUAGUGGAACGAAAUGAUAGGGGAAACGAAAAGAUACUGGAAUGAAACAAUAUAAAAACAAAAGAAUAGUGGAAAAAAUGAUAGUAGAACAAAGUAACCUGCAACUUAAUAAUUUCGUAACGAAAUUCCCUUAAUGGGGAUGUAAUGUGACAUCCCAGAAUUUAAGUAUUAUAAUUUGAUUCGUUGAGUUUUAGUGCAUCUUAUGUGUAAUAAAUGAGUUCAUUUCAACUAUUAUAAGAUAACAGAUGGUAUCUUACUUCCAAACAUGUAACCUGACAAAAAAAUCAAACAGUUCAAACUGCAACCCUAGGAAUGUGUCUGAAAAACUGAAAUUUCAUUUUAAGCCAUUGUGAGCAAUACAAGCACUCUAUUCUUGUAGUACGUGUUUCCCUAAUUUCGAAAAUAUAAAGAACGUCCAAAAUGGAGUCCGUAUACAACAUAUAUGACCAUUUUAAGAAUCUAAAUCCAGUAUAAUACUGAAUUUCUUAAAAUUGCUAAAACCGCUUAUAUCCGUAGGGAGACGUGCACGCCUCAAAUGGAAAUUCGGAAAACAUUUUUGGAUUCAGGCUAUUGCCUAAUAUUUAAUUCUAUAUCUGAAAUAUAUAUUUUUGUAAAAAUAUUUAUAAAAGUAAAAAUUCAUACAUUUUCAGCUUAAAUAAAUGUGGAACUUUAAAUGUCAUUUCACAGAGAUCAGAAUAACAUAAUUCAAUUCCGUCUUCAUUUUUGGAAUCACCACAACCUAAUUGUUAAGCAGGCACUUUUAGAAAAUUUAUAUGAAUCAAUAUGAUGGUAUGAAAAUCAAGAUAUACAUCACCAUANNNNNNNNNNNNNNNNNNNNNNNNNNNNNNNNNNNNNNNNNNNNNNNNNNNNNNNNNNNNNNNNNNNNNNNNNNNNNNNNNNNNNNNNNNNNNNNNNNNNNNNNNNNNNNNNNNNNNNNNNNNNNNNNNNNNNNNNNNNNNNNNNNNNNNNNNNNNNNNNNNNNNNNNNNNNNNNNNNNNNNNNNNNNNNNNNNNNNNNNNNNNNNNNNNNNNNNNNUAUAUAUAUAUAUAUAUAUAUCAUGUAACAUUUCCAAAUACCAAUUAAUGGUAUACUAGUGGUGUACCCACGCAAAGCGGCGAUGCCAAAUAGUUUCCGGGCAGUAAUUAACUCAUUUUGUUGAAUAGUUUCCUUGCAGCAAUUUGAUCAAACCAUGAAAACAGUUAAGUAUUAAGCAAGAUACAAAAUUUUGAUAAUUCUUUCGUUUCUACAAUUAAACGUUGAUAAAUAAAUUUACGUGUUACUUCCUUAUAAAUAUCAAAUCUACAAUCAUGCAUGUUUGUUCUUUUAGAUCACCAAUAGAUAAAAGUUGAUGCAUAAAUAUAAUGACAUGUUUUGCAAUAAACAUCAAAUGACUAUUCACGAUACAUAUUGUAACAAUUGUAAAAUAACGAGUUCUUAAUUGUACCUUAUUAAUCACAUAAGACUUCUUUGUACACUAUGUUUGAUGUGUAGAUUGCAUCAUGAUCGAACACUUUUUCUGGCUUUACUAAUACCUUUGUAUCAACACGUAAUAUUCCUCUGGAUAAGGCCACAUAAAGUUGGCCAUGUGAGAAUACCGAUUAUGGUAGAUAAACUCCCACGUUUGGAAUUGUUUGUCCUUAAGCUUUAUUGAUCGUCAUCGAGAAAUUAAGGUGAAGUGGAAAUUGUUUUCUCUAUAAUUUGAAUGGGAGCAUCUCAUCAUCAGACAGACAUAGAGGAAUUCUUGGCAAAAACACCCUUUUUACAGCAUGCUGACCAACAACUAUUUCUGCAUCAAUGACAUUUUACUGAAAGCUCUACAUAUCAAUCUGGUCCAUUUACAUAAUCCAUUUGAUGGAUUGAUAUUUCGUAAUAGUAUUAUUGGGUUACCAAUUUUUAACCGAAGAUAAUGAGGGGGAGACUACAAACAUUCAGUGAGUUUAAGAACUUCGUCGGAUAUAAGUUAUUACUAUCGUCUUCCGCUUCAUCAUAACUGUAGUAAACUUUUUUCUCUCCUGAAAACCACUCGAUCAUUUAGUUAUUUAUCUCAUCAACACUCUCAUUUUUAGUUGUGAAUAUUACCCUAGAAAUGAUAAAUUCUGAAUCAGCUUCGUUGGAUUCCAGAGAAGGAAAGAUUUGAUCAAUAAGAACAUCCCCUGAGUUAGCUUUAUUAGGGUAUUUAAUAUCCAUGUCAUCAGGUAUGCAAAUAAAGCUCUCGUCCACUGUUUCCUCAUUUCCAUCACCGACCCAUAAUAAAAAUUCUGAAAACCACGGGUCAGUUAUUGCUCUCAUGUUGAUUGUUAACCGAAGCCUUUAAAUCGAUGGCCAAAGAGGUGACAUUUGUAAGUGUGUCCAUCCAUGAUUAUACAAAGCAAGUAGGCCAUGUAAUAUGACAUAAAAGCAGGCAUAGGUAGUACCUCUCUCCUUUAUCUGGAUUAGCAUAAACCAAUCUUCCUCUCAUUGAUUUUAGUUUCCGGGGACUCCAACGAUGUGUGCUUGAAUUCCAUGUAAAAUGGUUGGGGAAAUCCUUGUACAUGUAUUUUCUAGCAUUGGAGUCUUCUUUAUUCUUCUCGAAAAAUGCCGUCAACAUUGUAUUCUUAUCUUUCUCCCUUUCAACAACAUCUUCCAUUCUAUCACCAUAUUUGAACCUAACUGUUGAUUCGACAUAUGUAUUUGCAAAGCCAUCACACAAGGUUGGAUCUGAGAAAGCAGAAAGCUGAAAAUCCGCCACAUCGCCUCAAGAGGGAAUACAUAAGGUGCAUCUUGAAACCCGCAUCUUGAAGAUGUACUUCACAGAUUUUAUAUCGAACAAACCUCAACGUUGAUAUGACAAUUGGACAUCAUUAGAGACUUUGGUUUGUAUUGAGCCACCCAUAUAUUAUCCAAUUUUUUAUUGCUUAUAUUCACCUCAAUUCAAUUAUUUCUCCUUCUAUAUAGUGGAUAUGAGUCUUCUCCUAAUGAUGUUUUGUCGUUCAACUGCCUACGAUACCUAAAACGACAUUUUUUUGGGCACACCCUCCAUACAUGGACUUUUUUUCUCAUAAACUACCACAAGGACCAUGAAUCAUAUGAUUUUUAACCAGAUCAUGCAUUGUGGGAUACUUAAUUGGAUCUGGAAUUUCGGUGCACAUGAUUUUGUCAUAAUCGUCUGGAUUGUUCAUCCUAUGUGUAGGUCUCAUUAAUUGGAGGAAAUGUGCAUGUGGCAAUCCACACUUUUGAAAAUCUACGAAAUGUACCUAUGCUCCUACCCCACCAAUGUUAUUCCUCUUCAAUAAUUGUACCUUGAGAUCCUCUAAUUAAGCACAAAAAAUUCUUGCAACAAGAUCUGGUCGAUCUUGAUUUGUUUGUCUUGGGCAAUAACUUAUCUUCAAUUUCUUUCUAAUUUGGGUUGAUUGUCAUUGUAAGGAAUAUAUCAGGCCUCCCAUCCUCUUGAACUAAGGUCAUGGCAUCCAGAAAUUGCUUUCGCAUGGGCCUCUGAUGAAACUUGAAGGUAAGACAAAUCAUUGUCCAACCAUACUUCUUUGACCCUCACCAACAUUAGAGCAAUCAACAAUAGCUCAGUAUAAAUUAGCUCUAAUUUUGGUUUGGUUUCUUUCACAAAAAACCAAACGUGAAGUCUCAAUCUUUAUGUAUGUAUCUACCACAAACCGUUGGAACAAUCUUCCUCCCUAUAGAAUUACGUUACAAUUUGACGUAUCUGGAACUUUUAACAAUAGUACUCAUGCAUAGUUACAAUAUUCCUACCUUUUGUUGAAUAGAAUCUGCGAUAUUAUAAUUUACAUUAUACUUAUAAUGUAGCACCUGGUUCCUAGUACGUAUGACCUAUCUAAGUAAUUUACAUUUUUAGCCUUGAACUCGGCGAGUUGUAGGCCCAACUCGCCGAGUAGAGCCGGGUUAUUGAGCACGUUUAAGUUGGCGACUCGGCGAGUCCAUGUUCUGGACUCGGCGAGUCCCUGCUGUCUGGAUGAAACCCUAAUUUCAAGGGUUUGCACCUUAUUUAAACCAACCUUAUGCGAACCAAGCCCGACUCCUUCACCCUCAGAGCUCCCUAUAUCGUGCUAACCCCGUUUCUUGUGAGAUUGAAGUGUUUUGGUGUGAUUUCUUGAAGAUUUUGAGAGAAAAAGGAGGGUAGAUCAAGAGAAGAAGAAGGAGGCCAGAUAUCUUGGUGUUAUUUCAGAGAUUCCUUGAGGUAUAACUCAGUUUCCUUCUGUUUUUAUGCUAAGAGUCCCUUAGAGCAUCAUUAAAGUCCUUCUUGAGCCAUUUCCAAGCUUGUUUAUGGAUUACGGAUGGUAAUGAGUUGAUUAACCUCUAGAUCUAGGCAUGUUUGAGCUCCAGAAGCUCAAAUCCAUGGCCUUUAUGGAAAUAAAUAGCUUAAAUGUCCUAGAUCUACCAUUUUAGUCUUUAUUAAGCCUUAAAUCCCCAUCCUAGGCAUGUAUACACGUAAAGUUGGAAACUUUACAUGUAAAACCUACCCUAAGAGCCCAAAUCUAUGUAUGACAUGAGCUGGAUUCAAGCAAAAUCGAGUAUGUAGUAAUUGCAUGUGAACGACUCGACGAGUCAUUCAUCAGACUCGGCGAGUCGAGUUGCGAGUCCCCGAGUUUUCCCCCUUUUUCUGUUUGCUGAGUGGAGUCGUGAGUCAUGGGGGGGGGGAGACUCAGUGAGUCGGAAGCCAGACUCACCCAUGGAGGGACUCGGUGAGUCAAUGCCCUGACUCGGCGAGUCCAAGGCCAUCUUCUUACCUCAAGAACAGACUCGGCGAGUUAUUCGUACAACUCGACGAGUCUCAACAUGGGAUGUUCAUCAGAUGAAGAUGAACUUGACGAGUUGUUCAUGCAACUCGACGAGUAGGAUGAAGGACCUUUGGACCCCAGUUUAGAAGGAGAACUCGUCGAGUCAAUGCCUAAAUCGACGAGUAGAGGCGGGAUUAAGGACAAUCGAAUGGGUAGGGACUCGACGAGUUGGAAAGCCAACUCGGCGAGUCGGGUCAACUGGAAGAUGACUUUGACUUGGACUUUGACCUGGUCAAGGGUAAAAUGGUCAUUUUACCCUAGGUUCAGCUAGCAGUGUUUGACUGAGCAUUUUGUGGGAAUUAUAGCCGGAGGACUUCCGGAACAGCAGCAGCAGUAGUAGACAGUCAGUUCCCGCUCAAAUCAGCAGCUACUUUGAGGUGAGUUACCUUCCGGUAGCGGUGGGUCUACGGCCACAAUGCCGGCCCACCAGUAGGAGUUGUAUGUCAGAUGAUUGUCUUUGUGAUAUCAUCUAGGUUUGCUACGACCUGAUAUGUUAUGUGCUGGCAUGAUAUGUUAUAUCUGAUAGUAGUAGAGUUCGGUCGUUAGGACCGAAGGGUAGGUCAGACACCCCAGCUAUGUCUGACAGUAUGUGAUGAUAUGUUUAUAUGCUGGCCUGAUAUGAUAUAUGUGGUAGUAGCAGUAGGGUUGAAUAGUCCCUGAGGAUCGGUUGUUAGGACCGAUGGGUAGUCAGCACCCCAGAAUGGCUUGACACGGGUAGGACGACACCCCAAAAUGGCCGCACCGAGUAGUCAGGCACCCUAGAAUAGCCUGGCAGUAUGUAUGUUAUGUGAUCGCAUGGUAUGUGGUACGAUGGGAGAACUCACUAAGAUUCGUGCUUAUAGUUUAUAGUUUUGGUUUCAGGUACCUCUUCGUCGAAGGGGAAGGAGCUGGCGCGGUAGUGGCACAUCAUACACACACACUGUUUUCCGCAUUCAUGGGAUUGUUUUGGGAUUUAUACUCUGAAAUUUUGAUGGAUCACAUGUUUUGGUUUUCAGACUUAGUAAAUGUUUAUGAAAUGGUUUGAUCAGACUAUGUUUAUUUGCAAAUGAUUAUAUUAAGUAUUGAUUGAAAAAUGAAAUUUUUGGACGUGAAAAAUGGGUCGUUACAUAUAAAGUUUUUUAUGUGUACGCUUAAGUUAAUAGUUCUUAUUUGUAAUAAAAUUGUAAAAUAUAAUUUAAGGCAUAUCUUCAAAAUCGUCGUCAGCGUUUUCAUUUUCAGUAAUAAUCUCAUCUAUGGAGACUCCCUGUCUUGGUAUUUUAGGAUGUCAUCCAGACUCUCCGUUGGGAAAGAACAAAGGAUAAGACAAUGGAUGAUAACAACUAUAGUGAGGUUGAAUUGUUUUAGUAUGGUUUGACCUCCCAUACAUAAUAAUACUUGUCUUAUAUGCAAUGUGUUGUCAUUGACUUCAACCCAAACACCAACAACCUCUGUAAAUGUGUGGUUCAAUAACGUGAAAAAUAUGUAUAUCUUUCGUAAUAAAUAUGACACAUUUUAUUUUAAAUAACAUAAAGAUAAGUAAUAGCUUUCACACCUCAGAUGUAGCCUGCUUAUUGUACGCCCUCUAGUCAAGUUCCACCGAUGCAUUCAAAGUCACUCUAUAAUCGUCAAACGAACCUAGAUCUAAAAGACGUCAAAAUUUUCUAACAUAUGGGUUCGAAGAAAGAACAUGAGUAAGUUUUUCAAUAAUUUUUCUAUCCAUAUUCGGGUGCUUAGCUCUCUCUCUCUCUCUCUCCCUCUCUAUCUGAUAAUUCAUUUUGACCAUCAUAAAAGUACAACUGCAAUUACUUCGACUCGCCUUCCCUUGGAAUUAGCUGAUCAAUAUUAUGAUAGAAUGUUCUGUGCGCACAAAAAGUAUACACUCCAUCAGUCAUAUUCGCCAAUUCUUUAUCCACCUUGACACCCAAUGAUGUGAAUGAAAAAUUUGAGUUAUACACCCUUAUGUUGUACCUGAAAACCUCUUCUAGUCGAUCUUUCUUUGUGAAUAGUUGGAGAAAUUAUGUGGGAAUAGGGGAGUCUGCUAGUUUUGUCUUCCCACUCAUGCAACAAAAGGUAGGGAAUUCAAAUUGUAUUAUUUUUUCUCCACAAUGAACAUAGGGAUUCUGAACUUUUAUGACAUGAUGUUCCAUAGGGAUGUUUUUGUAAACAAAAUCAUAUGGAUCCUCCUGCAGGGGGUAUACUCUAACUGCUCUUAGCCUAUUUCGUUCCUUUCUUUGUUGAUGGAGGGGGUAUACUCUAAUUGCUCUUAGCCUAUUUCAUUCCUUUCUUCACUGAUAAUAUUCUUUGUUAUAAGUACUCGUCUUUUGAGCCGCACUUAUAGUAGCCACUUGAACCGUCUCCAAUGCAUUGUCUGUCAACUGUGUUGUAAAUUGGCUGGUUCCUUCAUCGUUAGCUAUCUUUCUCAUUUUGUUCUCCUUCUCUCUUGCAUAAUAGUUGCUAUUGUAUCUUUUUCGGUUUUCUACAAUAAUAAUUUUUUUUGAUGAAUAUAUACAUAAUAUGAAUUUAAAUAUAUAAUACAUACAUGUGUGUUUGUAUACCUCUUUGUUAAUCAGUACCAUGUUGGCAAACAUCAUGAUUUUCAAUUUCCUUUUCCAUAAUCCUCAUUGCAUACUGUAAUAAAAAUUUAAAGAAUAAGAAUUUAUUAGAAGGUAUAAGAUAAGAGUGGCGUAGGAGAGGAAUUGGAAAUUUGAAUCUUAUAACCUAAUGCUUUUAACAUUAACAACCUACCUUAGAUAAAACUAUCACCAAAAAAUUAUCUUAAAUUAAUAUAUAAUCAAAUUCAAAAUAAACACAAAAACCCUACCUUAGGUAAAACUAUCACAAAAAAAUUCACCAUAUAAAACCUACCUUAGACAAAACUAUCACCAAAAGUUUAUCUUAAAUUAAUAUAAGGUCAAAUCCAAAAUAAAAAUACAAAAAAUAAAAAUAAAAAAACAUUCACCAACAAAUGUUUGACAACAAAAUAGGUCGACUCUUAAAUAAACACACAUUGAAAAUAUGAAAAUCAACCACAAAAUGUCUCACACAAAAUUAAAGAUUCUUCUUGGCAUAAGUCUAAUGUUAGUUGCAUCCGCCAUCAUCGGUUUGAACAUUAUGUUGGUUAACUUGGUUGAAAUUAAAAUGUUUAAUGUAAAUAGGAUAAUAAUUAUAAAAAAGGUUUGAAUUAGUUAAUUUUAUAUUACUAUAACUAUGAAAAUUUCAAAAAUAGAAAUCCCACUUACUCAUAGCUGAAUGAACCAACUUUAAUCGGGAAGCAUAUAUUAGUUAAUUUUGGUAUUUGCCUUGGGAAUAGAUUUUUAUAGUUUUUAAAAGCAAAUAUAAUGAUUAGUAAUCGUUCAUAAUUUCAUAUUUGUUCUUAUAUUAUGGAAAAAAUCUAAAAAUUCCAACAAACCAGCUUAAAAAAUAGUAAAAAAAAAAUGUUUCGAUUACCUUUUUAAGAUCGGGUAUGAGUGGUUGACAAUCAAACUAAUUUUUCAUAUUUUAUUUUAUUCACUAAACUGUUUGUUUGUAUGAGCAAUUAAAAAAUUAAUACUUUUUGUUUCUUCCAACCCAGUUUAUUUAUAGAAACUUAGAUAUUUUUUAAAUCUUAAAAAUUUGCAAGUUAUCCAAAAAAUAAAAUUUAAUGAAACAUAUAUGUAAGGGUCAAAAUAAAUCAGAAGUAUGAUGAGUCUUUUGGAUCUCUUUGCAUUAAACAUUGGUGUCAGACUCAUUUCUUAAUCCUCUCUCUUUCUACAAUUAUAGUUCUUAAAACAAGUUCAUUGUAUAAUUUCACUAAUCCAAAAAUUAAAAUCAGUAAUAAAUUUGAAGUUUAGUUAGACAAAAGAUUUUAUCUCUAUUUUUUUAUCCGAACGUAAGAGAUUGGUUACACCUUUUCAAUUGCUAACGAACUCACACGAUUUACCUUACUGAAAAUCACUGCAAUCCUCAUAUUAGGACCAUAUUGCCCCUUAACACUAUUUUUAUAAUAAAAAAAAUCAAUUUUUAAAGUUUUAGGAACAUAUUGCCCUGCACACUGUUUUUAUAUUAACAAAAUUCAAUUUUUAUAGUUUUAGGACCAUAUUGCCUUGCACACUAUUUUUAUAUUAAUAAAAUUCAAUUUUUACAGUUUUAGGACCAUAUUGCCCCUACACACUGUUUUCGAGCUCUAAGUGUAAACAUCAGAGCAUCCCCCAGAACCAUAUCAUAUGAAUCAUAAAAUACGAGGAGCGGUACGAUCACGUCUUUGCCUUGCCAUAAUCUCCUGAAGUACCUGAAAUAAUACACUGCACUGUAAGCCCAAAAGCUUAGUGAGUUACCCCCAAAAUACCAACCACAUACAACCAUAAUCAUAACAUAUUGUAUCACAAUACAAAACAGCCAUGCCUCUCAAGUCUGCAACGUGACUGGUCCGCCCUCAAGAGGCCUUCAGUUCACCUGGUCCACUCUCUGAGUCUACAGUAUGACUGGACCGCCCGAUCCUGGCCUUCAGUCUAUCUGGAUCUAUCCGAGCCUUCGGUAUGACUGGACCGCCAUAUGGGCCUACAAUCUAUCCGGACCACUCGUAGGGUAUGUUGGCCUUCAGCACAAAGCAGGACCGCCUCAACCCAAACAUCAAGCAAAUAACCAUGUGUACAUAUAACAGGUAAUCGCAUAACAGUCCAUAGGCAAAAAAAUCGAUCUAGCCGAUCGUAAAGCAUAGCAUCAUCCUUACCAGGAUAUCGACCUAACCGGUCACUAACAUAACAUCAUCCUAUAUACCAGGAUACCGACCUAAACCAGGUCACUGACAUAAUACUGUCCUAAUUACCAGGACGCCGAUCUAACAGAUCAAUAAGGACAUCAACAAUACAAGUACAAAUAUUAGAUAUAACUAUCUCAUAGAUCAUCGAUCAUAGCAAUCUCUCAUGACCAAGGCAUCGACCUAACCAGGUCACUAAAAUAUCAAUCCCAACGGAUCACAUGAGCAUAACAACAUACUGUCUAUUCUGAUACCAAUCUAACAGAUCAUAACCAUAUGUAGCAUACUGUAACCAAGAUAACAACUAAAAGGGACGGCCUUGGUGCCUUAGACCCUAUUGAUAUAGUGAGGAUAACUCACCUGAAAUUGCUGACUGAAAAGAUAAGACCCAGCUGCUCCGACCUCCGACACGAUCGUCGCCACUGAACACUACCAAAGAACCAAUUCCAUAAAUACCAAUAUUACCAAAUUACCCUUGGAAGUCAAACUGGUCAACUCUUGGUCAAGGUCAAAGUCCUCAGUCAAAGUCAACCUUCCUGGUUGAAUCUACUCGCCGAGUCAACCCGUCGAUUCGCCAGGUUCCCUUACCCAGAAAACUCUCAUAACACAACUUAACUCGUCGAGUGGCCCAAAGACUCGCCGAGUCCAACGAUCUCUGAGUCCCAUCCUGUCCAACUCACUGGGUCACCAACCGACUCACUAAUCCAAGGCUUUAACCAAAAGAGGUUGGGGUUCUGUGACCUGACUCGCCGAGUUCAAGGCAAUCUUCAACAGACUCGCCGAGUUGCUCUUCCAACUCAUCGAGUCCAUGCACGUGUUCAUACAACUCGUCGAGUACACCCAUGUGACUCGCCGAGUCUCUCCAGUUCUCAAUCCAUUCAGAGGCUUUUCGAGCCAUGCUGAGGCUCCAAUCCUUAGACCCACCCUUAUACAAUCUAUCCCUCACAUAAAGUUGCAAACUUUACGUGAAACCAAAGAGAUAUAGGCCCAAAACACACUAGGGCUUGGGUUUUAGACAAAAGGGCUUCACCAACAAUUCAAUAACUGAUGCUUUAUGACUUUCUGGACCAAUACAAGUCUAGAUCUGAAGUAGAAAAUCUCAGAUUUGGACUCCAAACCCAAAGUGGAUCUCAAUCAUACCAAAAUGGCCCCAAAUCUGAUUCAAGAAUAAAUCUAGAAGCAACAAAGGAAAGGUAACAGCUCAUAACCUCCAAGAUAUGCCCAAAACUGCAGUAGAUUCUAGAUCUGCACUACUUUCUUGAUGUAAAUGUUGGAUAAGGUGUCUAAGUCCAUAACUUAUUUGGUAUAUACUUGACCCGACCCGACAUGGUCCAUUUGGGUUGCAUUUCACCCGAACAGUUUAUGGAUAAUUUUAUGAGAGUUAUACACAUAUGCUUAUUAAUAUAUUAUAAGUUAUAAUAUAUUAAUAUGAGGUUAUGUUAUUUAAUUAGUCUUAGUCUUAAAUUAAUUAUGAAUUAAUUUAGAGAUUAAAAGAAAGACUAAUUAGAUUAUGGGCUAUUGGUUUUAUAUGGUGUGGGCUAACACUCAUUUGUUAAUGGGCUAGGCUUGGAUGGAAGUCCAUGGAUGAUCCAUGGAGCUUUUAAACCAUGGAUCCUUGGUAAAGGAAAGGUCAUGGGUUAUUAGGGUUUCACCCUAACCAUGUACACUAUAUAAGCAUGCUUAUGGUGCAUGAAAUGGAAACUAGUAAACUAGUGUGUGUGUGUGUGUGUGCUUGUGUGUGGCCGAAAAUUGCAAGUGUGUAUACUCUCUCAAAGUUUUCCAAGUGUUUGUGGUGAUUUAUGAUUCCAUUUGAGGCAUUCACACUAUUGGUGCUUGGCCCUCAAACUCCUCAAGAAUCAAACUCAUCAAAAAGGUAUGUAAUCUCUUCUAACUCUUUUAUGUUGAAAUGUUCCCCAUGCCAUGUUAGAUAGGUUAUGAACCUUGGAAAAUUAUUAUUUUGCAUGUAUUUAGACAAACAUAGAUCCAAGGUUUAUUAGGGUUGCAUGCACACUUAGGAAGUGUUAGAUUGCUCAAAACCCAACAGUGGUAUCAGAGCCUAGGCUUGCUUGUUUGAUACUUGAUGCAAAAUAGUGAAAAAAGUUGAAAUUGUUGCUGUCUGGCUGAUGGACUCGCCGAGUCCAUGGGGGGACUCGCCGAGUUCAAGGCAAAAUUCAUCCUACUCGGCGAGUAGGUUCGUGCACUCGGCGAGUAGAAUGAUCAGAAUGCAGAAUUUCGACUUUUGCUGCUGGAAAUGGACUAGAAACAUUACCCUAAACUGUUUUGGUGUUUUAAAACUUGUUUUAGUUGGUGUAAUGGUUGUUCUAAUCCAUUUACAAUAGCAUAUAUCAAAAUUCCAUGAUUUUUAUGUGUUCAUAUAAUUCUUGAAAUUUUGAUGAUCAUGUUCAUGUUCUUAUGAAUUUAGAAGAUGAUAGGAAUUAUUUGCUGAAUUGUUUAGAAUUAAUUCUUGAUCAUUUAUGUGUUUUAAUGGAGUCCAUAAUUUGUCCUCAAGUUAUGGAUAUCCAAAGGUCACUUUUCUUUAACACACACAUUUAAACACAUAAGUUACAUGAAAAUGAAGAGUCUUCAUUUUUAUGAACCUUUAAUUCAUAAGUUAUGAAAUGAAAAGUUUUGGAUAGUUACAAAACUUGCCCUCAAGUUUUGGAAUUUGAAAAGUUUCACACACUUUAAUAAACUUUAAUUCCAACACUUAGAGUUUUAAAAGUUAAAAUUCAACACUUAUACUAUUUAUAACAUUAAUGGUUAAUUAUUAUAUAUAUGUAUAAGAACAAGUCGUUUUACCGUUAGUAGGCCUCAUUCACGAAGCCGGUCUAUAAGGUGGGUAUAAGGUUGUUGCCUAUAAAAUGGCGACUUAAUGGGUGUCCACUCUCACCCACCGCUUGCUUGAUCGGUGGAGGGUCGUUAGCCGAACGGGUAGGACAAUGACUUUAAAUUCUCAUUAAAAGUAUAAUGAUUAUUAUAAAGUAACUAAAAAUUUUUUAUUUAAUUCCCAAUCUUAGUUACUUUAGGAAAAAUGUGAAUUUGGUGCUAGCCCAUGGAAUUCACACUUUGUACCUUACCAAGUCGUUGGUGGAGCGUGUGUGGUUAACCGGCACACUAACUUGGACUAGUAAGGAUCACGAAGGGUGACUUAAUGUUUGUCAUAGAUCAAUGGAGCGUGUGUGGUUAACCGGCACAUUGAUUAGGUGAUAAUAUUAAGGGUACCAAGUGAAUUGGUAUGGUUAUUCACACCUUGUUUUGUGAUCCUCGGCAUCCCAGUCACAAAAUUUGAGAGGGCACACUCGAGAUUGAAACAUGCCAUUGAAAAGUUCAAUGAAUCUCAAAAGAUCUAGGAAUUUCAAAUCCAAUUAAAACCUAAUAAAUUAUUUCGUUUUUCAUGGUGGAAAUUGGUGAAUCGUCAUUCGCCUACCUUCAAAUAUUUUAUAGCUUGGAUUACGGCAUCCCUCUUCCAAAUUAUAAAAUAUUGUGUUGGGUCCUAGCCUUAAUAUUUCAUAUUGGGUGUUAUAUUAAGGACUUUGAAUCAACUAACUUGAUUUUCUCCCAUUAUAGAUGUCUGGUUCAGACAACUAUGAUCUUCCCAAAUCUCUUGAAGAUGGUGUCCCUCAACAUCAUGCUUCACUUCCUCCACCUCCUCCAAUUAUUCUCCCUCACCCACAAGUUCUUGAAAAGUUUAAAGUCACUCAAUCCCUAUUGGCAAGCAUAGUCUAUGUGUGCUCACAUCUUGGAGAUAAAGUCACAUAUUGACAAGCCGGGAGAGUUGGGUGUCAAAGUCUCGUGAAAGUUGGAUGUUCAAUCACUUUCUUAGUAACAUAGUGAGUCUCUUUGGGACUACUAUGAGACAGACUAUGACAUGACCCUUAAUGAUGUUAUCUAUUUGCUUGGUGUUGUGGAAUCAGCAAUGAUUUGGAACACCAGUAAAGCAAAUUUGAUUAAAAGAACAACUUCCCAAGUCUUAAAUGGACAUUGACAAUGGUAGCAUUGGAUAUCUAGAAAAGGAUUUCUCUUCCCAAUGGAAAGGGAUCGGCCAUAGUCAACUCGGUUGACCAAAUGGUAAAGAGAAAGGCUAAGUCUGAGAUAGUCUCAUGUGCCAUUACCAAAGGGUCCAUGUGUUUUGUUGCCAAAGGAAGGGGCAUUGGUUGCGAAGCUGCCCUAUUCACCUGAAAGGUCAUAAGGUUGAUCAAGUCAAGAGGUUUGACUCUACUUCGGGUAAAGUCCACUGUCUAACUCUAUUAAGUUCCUAUUUGGAGAUUCUUAUUACAUAAUGUGAAUGGGUCACAUGCUGAUGUUUUUAAGAAUCAAAGAAAAGAUAGGAAGCUUAAAGUAAGUAUAUGUUGAUUCUGAUUGCGAAGGUGGGUUUCGAUCGCAUGGUUCGGUAAUCAGAAUUUUGAGCUGUUGCUUAAGAGUUAUAAUAUAUUGCUUAUGAAUAGAUAACAACAAGGUUUUCAUGUGGAUUGUAAGGAUAAGUUUUUCCGCAAAGUUUUAAAAAAAAAAAAAAAAAGGGUUUUAAUUUUAUUUAUUUUAAAAAUAUCCUUACAAUGGCAUCUGUGGAAAAUUGUUGCUUAUAUGUUUCCAGUAAUAGCAAUAUUGGAAAGUGGAUUUGAUUCUUUCAUUUGUGGUAGUGUCUGAAUUUACCAAAUGAAGAAAGUUUUUCAUCACCCAAGUUUCAAUUGGACAGAAACUUGGAAUCAUACAAGUUGUAUUGUAUGAUGAAUGAGAAUUUUCAUCUUUGAAAAUUAAGACUAAUUCUUUGAUCACAUGUAUAUGUGAGUCAAUUGAAGGACUAAGGAAUUAGGUACACUGGGUGUGCGCUGGUCAAGGUCCACCACAAAGAUUGAUUUGUCAUGAUUUACUAAAGAUUAGUAAAUAUGAUUAUACUUAUGAGGUUAAGUAUAAUUCUGUAACAUUGGAAAGGUUACAAUGUAUGACAAAACAAAUGAGAAGAAUCAAAUUAGGCAGAAAGAUAAAAGUUUCUCAAAUCUGAAAGGAUGGGAGAGUACUUUAGUAUCGUAUUUCAUGAUCAUCUUAAUGAUUAUGAAACCAUAUCACAAAUUCAUACUCUAAGGACGUCUUAGUGCAUUGUUAUGGCUAAGAAGAGAGGUCAUGAAUUGUUGGAUUGGUUAAAAUCAAGAAGAUGAGUCAUACUUCGUUCCAAAACAAUUCUUAGAGUCAUACUCCAAGAUUGUAACUUUGAGUGACAUAAAGGAAGAUUUAUUAACACUAGUCAAAUGUAAGAGUAAAAUGUUUUCUACUCUUGUACAUUUGAGAUUGGUAAGUUGUGAUGUCUUGGAUGAGACAAAGACCAACUAAGACCAAUUGUGUGAAGUGUUAGUCUUGAUAAGAAUCCGCACUAUCCCUUGAAUAUUUGUUUUGUCAAGGAAUGGUUCUUGACUGGGGAAACUUAUAUGUCAAGGGGACAGUGGGAGCCUUAAAGAUCCUGAAAGAGUUUCAAGAUUUAAUCAAGAGUAAAACCUGUAAUUUAUCACUAGCACACGACUUAAGGUUUGCAACCUAUCGUGUUGACAUAAUUCUUAUUUCUGUACCUACUUCAAAUAAGUUGAAUUUGCAUGUGAGUUAUCAGAGUUCAACUUGGAAGCAUUGGUGGGCCUUGUGCUACCAAGGUGACAAGAAACUAAGAUUGAACAAGUUUAAUCCAUGUAAGGCUGAAUUUGUCACUAACCUUAUCUUGUGAUUAUGGUUUUGACAAAUUCACAUGGAUAGGAACUCAUACACUAUAAAAUCUAAGUGUCAUAAGGUUUCUCUCCGAUUCAUGAAAAUGAUGGUGAGGAAACGCUUUCACUAAGUAGAUUUUACGUAGAUAUCAAUUGUGUUAUUUGCAUUUUCAAAAGUCGUUAGUGGAGCGCGUGUGGUUAACCGGCACACUAACAUGGACUUGUGAGAAAUGGCAAAUGCCUAAGCAAUUGAGACUAUGAUUACGGCAUCCCUUUUCAUAGUUCUGAAAAUUGUUUAGACACACAUGUGAGCUAUCUAAGAAAGGGUGUAUGAAUCUAAAUUUCAGAAGUCCAGCAGAUUUCUGGAAAUAUGUCAGAGCUAGUGGGAGCAUAAGUGUUAUGCUGAUAAUCAUCAUGUUAGUGGGAGCAUGAUUAUUACGUUUAGUGUUGCAAGUUAGCAAUGUUAAUUAUAGAAAACAAAGUUUCAAUUCGUGAAGUUGCAGGGGUUGAAAAGUUGUUUUGCUAUAAUUAAGGGAGAGGAAAUUAUACUUCAUUUCAAUUCUAAAGCUUAGAUUGAGAUUUUAAUCAUCUUUAGUCAAGAAUAUAUAUAUGAAUUUUAUGUUGGAAUGGUUCAACUUGAAGAAAUUCUAUAUAUAUUGCGUUUUCAAAAUUCGAUUAUGAUUACGGCAUCCCUCUUCAUAGUUAAAUUUUGAAAACAUGGCAAAUAAAAAAUAUUGUAGCAAAAGACUGGUCUAGUAUCAUGUCUUUAUGUCAAACAUCAUGAAUCGUGUCCCAUAUGCUUCGGAUAUAGGAUCGAUUGCAUGUGCUAUAAUAUUCAUCUUUUCUAAAUUUUCCAAAUGCUUAAGGCAUUGAGAAGGGAAAAGUCUAGAACUGGAUAUGACUAAAGUGAUUAAGCAAUUGUCGAGGACAAUCUGAGGUUCGCCAAAGAUUGGUUGCUCAGGGAAAGUUGGAAGUAUGAUGUAAGUUGUCGGAAAGGACCAUAUUGACAUAUUCUGAAAAGAAGUAACUCUUGUUCGGAAGUGAUAGUCAAAAUGGGACUAUGGAAAUGUCUCCAUAGGUGGAAGUUAUUCAAUCUAUGUAAGAUUAGAAAACCUUAAUGCAAGAAGGAUGUUCAAAGCAAUGUACUUUGAAUAUGAGACUUCCGUUCCAUAGAAGUUGACCUUCUUUGGAAUACUCUGUAAUGACUGGUGACAAGGUUUUGGUGACUUUGUGCAUAAUCAUUACAAGAGGAACAUUGCAUAAAAGUUUAAAAUCUAACAGUUUUUUUGGUAAAUGAUAGGAAUCGGGGAUUCUCACAUUUACAAUAAGGAUUUGGGAUUGUGAAAUGAGUAUCAUUGGAAUCAUGUUCAAUUGAUCUACAUCACAAUGUAAGGAUCAUAGACAAACAUAGUGUGCAUACUUGGAGUAUGGCAUAACUAUUGUUUAGAAAAACAAAGUGUACAUGCUAGGAGCAUGGGACGACUGUUGUUUUUAUUCAAGUCUUAAGUUGAUUGUUUGAAACAUUAUACAAUGAAUAAUGUGUAAUCAAUAUGGUGAUAAAUAAAAGGUGGUUCUAUUUAUAUUCAAAAGGGUUCUGAGACCAUAUUGGAUUCGAUUAUUAUUGUGUUUCACUUUGCAUGUUUUGACUUCCAAAAUAGCUAGGUUAUUCUUUCCGAAUGACUAAGUUAUUUAAACACUCCACAGUCGUUCAUAUGUUGGAAGUAGGUAUGAAUCAAGACUGUCAUGAAUCGAGUUUGUAGAUGGCUAAAUGGGUUUAGUCAUAGCAAUGGUUGCUACAACAUUCAUGAGUGCUCAUAAGUUAUGAGUAUUGGAAUAAACCCACGCUCACUUGUAUCACUUCAUGGAAUUUAUCUCGAGUGAUCGUGAGACGGUAAUAUCAUAUAAAUCUUCAAACCUAGAGAUAUGAGUUGUUACCUAUGAGUUGGUUGUGCAUUGAUUGCACGUAAACGCAUCAGUAACUUGAUGUUAUAAAACGUGCCUUUGUGUACAAUUCAACAAGUAGUAGAACAAGCAUAUGAGUCGAAGUUUAUCUGUUCCUUCUAGAAAUAGAAGCGAUAUCUGGGCCCCUCGAUGAUUUUGUUGUGACCUAUGUACCGGCCGGUCAGAACUAAAUUGAUGUGUUCGAUUAAGUUCUUUGUCAAACAAAUCGAAAAUCGGGAAACAAACUGCUGGACAAUAAGUACGACGUUGUUCCAUGUAUUUGUCCGGCUGAUAUCAUGAGAACAGAGGAUUAUAUGAUCACUUUCCUAAAAUGGCGCUUCAUAGUUCAACAGAGUUUUCGAGAGCUACGAUUGCUGGUUGGUUCCUGAAGUAACAUAGGCAAAUAUAGUUAUUAGACUUAUCCAAGUGGGAGUCUGUUGGAUAAGGUGUCUAAGUCCAUAACUUAUUUGGUAUAUACUUGACCCGACCCGGCAUGGUCCAUUUGGGUUGCAUUUCAUCCAAACUAUUUAUGGAUAAUUUUAUGAGAGUUAUACACAUAUGUUUAUUAAUAUAUUAUAAGUUAUAAUAUAUUAAUAUGAGGUUAUGUUAUUUAAUUAGUCUUAGUCUUAAAUUAAUUAUGAAUUAAUUUAGAGAUUAAAAGGAAGACUAAUUAGAUUAUGGGCUAUUGGUUUUAUAUGGUGUGGGCUAACACUCAUUUGUUAAUGGGCUAGGCUUGGAUGGAAGUCCAUGGAUGAUCCAUGGAGCUUUUAACCCAUGGAUCCUUGGAAAAGGAAAGGUCAUGGGUUAUUAGGGUUUCACCCUAACCAUGUACACUAUAUAAGCAUGCUUAUGGUGCAUGAAAUGGAAACUAGUGAACUAGUGUGUGUGUGCUUGUGUGUGGCCGAAAAUUGCAAGUGUGUAUACUCUCUCAAAGUUUUCCAAGUGUUUGUGGUGAUUUGUGAUUCCAUUUGAGGCAUUCACACUAUUGGUGCUUGGCCCUCAAACUCCUCAAGAAUCAAACUCAUCAAAAAGGUAUGUAAUCUCUUCUAACUCUUUUAUGUUGAAAUGUUCCCCAUGCCAUGUUAGAUAGGUUAUGAACCUUGGAAAAUUAUUAUUUUUCAUGUAUUUAGACAAACAUAGAUCCAAGGUUUAUUAGGGUUGCAUGCACACUUAGGAAGUGUUAGAUUGCUCAAAACCCAACAGUAAACCCUUUUGAUCUUCAAGUUUCUUCCACUAGAACACCUCUCAAAGCUUCAAUCUCCCUCAAAUGGCCUUAUACACACGAUCUAGGGUUUACUGGAUCUCAAAGGGGGAUAAGGGAGCUGAGGGGAGGACAUUAAGUCCUUUAAAUAGGGUGCAAACCCUAAGAUUCAGGUUUUUCUCAUUCCAACACCAACUCGUCGAGUCCAGCUUCCGACUCGGCGAGUUGGUCACUUAAUUCGAGACCCAAACCCGCUCCGACUCGGCGAGUAAGCGUACCUACUCGUCGAGUCCCUUCUUCAAAAUUAAAUUUUAAACUCUGAAAUCGUACUUCUGAAAUUCGAGAUGUUACACUAAUUAAGUAUUCUAAAUAGAAUUUGUAGCAUUAGUGACGAUAAGCAUGGGUAUAAAUGUCACUUUAGCUUUAGAAUUGAAAAAAAUGUUUCAUCAAUAUUAAAUUAAAAUUCCCAAAACAAAGAUUGUUACAACUUUUAUGAGAUAAACACUUAACAAAGAGAAACAAUGAAGAAUUGAAGAAAAAGAAACACAUGUUUUACUAAAGCUACAUGUUUUAAAUCUUAUUCGUAUUUCAUAAAACUAGAAACAAAAAAUAGAUACAAGCUUUAAAAUGGAUCUUAAUCCUAUAAAUCAUUUGUGAAAGUUGAUGACAUUAUUAUAUUAAUACUAAUUACUAACCUUCCUCAACUUGAAGUACCAUAGUUUCUGCAUCUUCAGGUUCAAACUCUUCAACCUUCUUUUGGGCCCCACUAAUAAACAAAUACUGACAAUUCUUUGGAUUUGUUUGAAUCACAAUUACAUGCUUGCAGCAUGGAGCUUUCAUGGUAAAGCUCCAUAUCUUAAAUAAUAUCAAGAAUCAUAAUGAAUAAUCCUGGAAAAAGGUGAAUUCAGUGAUAUUACUUGGAAAUAUUUAAAAUUUAUAGCUUACCUUUGUAGAGUAAUAAUUUCCAACUUGCUUCUUUUCGACAUUGAACCUUACACCCUUUGCAAUCACGGGGAAGAACAUGAUGAAGAAGAUACAAAUAUUUUGUGAGUAUCAAUGGAAAAUAGGAUUAACAAAGUUUGUUUUAGAAAGCGUUCAUGUGUGGAAAUACAUUAGCAGCCACGUGAUUAGAUAAAGUUUCGGUAAAUAUGCUUUUGUUGGUUUAAUAAACGCUUGCUUCUGUAUAUAGAUUUAUGCAGAUUAUGUAGUCUUUUAUGAUGAAAAAGUGAAUCUACGUUUGGAUUUGACAGAAUCUUUGUUUCAUGAAUGUAAAUUGAUGUUCUUGCCUUUAAAGCCUUAACGAUUGAUGGCUUUCACAUGCAUUUUGGACUAAAAAUACAAAGGAUCAUUAAACUUAGAGAAAGCAUCUCCAGCACAUGUUUUUGUGAGCCCAUAUCUUUGCCCAAUUGGAGUCCUGAAAUAAAAAAAAUACCAUUUACACACAAUAUGUAUAUUAAUAUAUUAGUAAUAGAGUAAUAAUACUUACGCAAUGUAGAUAAUUGAUAAAGCGUUGUGUGUCUGCAGCUAAAGGAGCACCACUGCAUAGCAUGAAACGAAUGUCUCCUCCAAGUAUAGAACAUAUCUUCUUAAAAACAAUAGCAUCCUAGAAUAGAUCAGGUUAUAGACAUAUUUAGAACAACUUUACAUGCGUGAAAUUUAUUUUCUUUAGAACAACUUUACAUCUGUGAAUCUUACCACGACAAUUUUAUGUAGGCUAAAAUAAUCAAAACCACUUAAUUUUUUUUUAUUCUUUUUCAAUUUUAGAUUUUAACAUACCAGCUACCACUGCAAUAGUGAGCUAAUCUCCAAUUCUUCUGAUGCGUGAGGCACCUUUUCUAUAUGAUUUGAAGCGCUCUAAUGCUGGAUCGUUUGCCAAAAGCUGCAAAAAGUACACAUUUUCACAAGUUGAGUUUAUAUAAUUGGUUGUAAUGCUUGACAUACGGACAUUAAUCUUUUCUACAUAUAAAAAGAUAUAAAAACAUCAGCUUCUUGACCAUGCAUUACCAAGAAGAAAUUGAUAAGGAAAAAAAAACAAUAGAAUAACUUCCUUGAAACUCUUGGCUAUGAAUAAACACAAAACAUCAUGUUUAAUAAACAUUCAAAUGUUGAUUUCCUAUGUUAGUCAGCUGUCAGCUGUCAGCCCCAUAUACAUAAAUGUUAUGGAUAAAUAAUUUUGAAUAUUUGGAAAUUUGAAGAGUUGUUAAUGCCAAAAGAAAUGGCAAGAAAUUCUUGUAGUCAUAGAAAAUAAUAUGGUUUGCAGAAAGAUUUGAGAAGAAAAAGAAUACACAUUAUAUCGGGAAUUAUUAUGCCACUCAUGGUACACAUUACAUAACUCACAGUUACAGAUAGGAAGGCAGAUGUAGUGCUCAUUUUGACACGAAGAGGCAUGUCUCAGAAGGAUGAUAUGUUAAAGCAUUAUAGGUUAUCAUAGGCAAGCAAGUAUACUGUAUACAUAAUCAUGCCAAAUAAUUGCAUAAAAUAGCCAAAAUGAACUGUCUAAUCACUUUGAUUUAAAAUUAGAAUCCAGACUUUCAAGUAGGCAAGAGUGAAAAUGCAUGAGAAACCAUGAACUAAAUUAGGGCUUAUUGUAACAUACACGUUUAGUUAUCGUGUUUUGUAAUAAAUAAUAUUAUGAAAUAUUAUAUGAAUUUGAGUAAUUGAGUUCUAACGGAUACUUUUUACUAGAAAUGAAGUAAAAUUAUGUUUAGAAUCAAUCAGAAAAUAUUGGAAGUCUUAUGAGAUUCCGAUUAAAAGUCAAUAUCGAAAUUUAAUGAAAAUAUAUAAUUUGAAAUAAGUAAAAUUUUAUUAAUGAAAGUUGUAAAGAAUCUCAUUAGAAACAAUUAGACGAAAACCUCAUCGAAAUCCGAGUUAUAACGAAUAAGUUAUGACCAAUCAUAGAUCCGCGACAAAACCGGCACGUCGCUGAAUGACGUGAAAAGUGAGUUUUUGAUUAACUACUUUUUUGCCUUGGUGGUUGAAAUGAAAGUCGUAGUAUUUGUUAAACUGAGAAUUUUCAUAAAAAUAACGUCCAAAUCUGACUUCGUAUGAAGAAGUUAUGAUUGUUCUAAGUUUCGGAAUAGCAGUAGACAGCUAAAAACACGAAAUAAAGAUCGAGUGAUUUUUAGCCGACGCAACCUAAACGAGAAUCGAAGGUCUCAUCAAUAGCAGUACAACGGUAAAAAGACAGACGAAAAUGAACAUCAGAUGAAGAAGUUAUGAAUAUUUAACGAAUUUUCCCGUCCCGUCUAUUAAAAAUAAAUCAAAAUUAGCCAACGGAGUCUAAACAAAAGUUGUAGAGCAUAAUUUCACCUACGCGUGCAUAUAAAGAACGUCAGAAAUGGAGCACAUAUGUGAAAGUUAUGGACUUUAGAAUUUUCGGACACAAAAACCGAGAAAAUCUGAAAUCCGAGAAAAUUUGCAUGGCUGGGGUUCGGCCACGUCACCUACAUGCGAUAUGACGCGUGUCCGACGCGUGUCACAGCCACCUCGCACCGAAGGCGCAGUCCUCUCCUGAUCCGAUGCGUGGCUAAGCGUUGGCGCCUUCUGAGCUUCGCCAUCUCUCUCUCCCCCCCUCGCAUGCGAGCCACGUGCUCGCUUCUCCUUGCUUCGGAUUCGAGGCUCGCACCUAUAUAAAGGGUGCGAGACCUCCUGGGUAAUUUUGGAAAUUUCACACCUUUUACCCCUAAAUCCAAUUUUUAGCUAUUUCAACUUCCCCUGAAGCCCCGGGAUCAUUCCCAACACCCGAAACACGUCCCGAAGUGCCCGAAGAGCCCGAGUAAUUUAUCUUUUCGGUUUGAAGCUCAACCCUUGCAGGGUCCGGUUUUCAGUAAAGCUCCUGGUUUUCAGCGAAGAAAGUUAUCUAUUAUAACGAAGUGCUGCACAAAUUACUAUUUUAACCCCCAACUAAUUCACGGUGAGUUCAAUAUAUAAGAACAAUUGUAUGUUAUGUGUUAUAUGUGCUAUGUGCUUUUCCGUGUUAUUAUAUUGUGUUAUUAUUUCAUGCUAUUAUGGUAGCAAAAGUUGUACCUGUGACCAUGUGAUCAGUGAAAGGACUUGAAUUCACGGUGGUACUGGUAUGUAGCCUCUGGCCAUGUAGAGCAUGUCUCGUAAGAGAACGACUUCUAUUUUAUGGCAUUAGCAGAAGGUUAGACAGGGCUAAAACCCUGAAAUCUACCAAAAUGUUUAAUCAGAAAGUGUAUGUCUUCUGUGCCAUUUGGGCUGAAGCUUUAUUGAUGUAUAUCUAGUAUGAAAAUUGUUAUGUCUUAUUGAUUGUAUAUCUUUAAAUCAAAUCAUUAAUUGAUAUUGAAAGCUUGUCACAUGAUACACAUAUGCCUUUGGUGUUCCAUGUUCCUCGUUGCUUUUGGCAUAACGUUAUAUUGCAUCUAUUAUUGAACUCACUAAGCGUCACCGCUUACCCCUCUCAAUGUUUAACAAAUUGCAGGAGAUAAGUAACCAGUAUAGUCGUAUACUGUUGGAAGGUUUAGAAUAGUUAUAAUAUUACUUUUGUAUUUAGGGAUCAUGUAUGUAUAAAAGUAUAGUAUCCUAGGUAGUUGUGUAAUAUAUAACACUUUCUAAUAGUUGGUUUGUAUCCGGUCGUUUGUAAACAAGUUAUCAAUGUUAAAACAUUAUUUGUGAAUAUGCAUGUAGCAUGUUUUGGAGUAACAGUUGUCAAAUAUGAAAGUGUGGGUCUUUCACUUAUUCUUAUAGAGUAUCCUGAGAAAUUGAAAUUCAAACAAAGAAAAUCUCGACGAAUAAGACGUCAAUUAAAAUAUCUAGCUUCGUUUUCGACCUAUCCAUAUGCACAUGCAAUCCUAUGCCAACAACCAUUGAUACAAAUCAAUACCAAAUGGGAUGAAACAAACACUUACGACUUUCUUGUGAGCCCCAGGUUCGACAUGAAGUUGACAUCUAGAUUGCAACUGCGAAACCUCCACUGCCUAAAUCAAAUAAAAAUUUAUAUUGAAACUGACGGUGUCAGGAGGGUGUAGGUAGCGACGGCUUCAAGAGGCUGGCAGUUACGUUCAUUUGUCAGAGAUUGAAGAGGGUUUUUCAUAAAAGGAAUAGAAAAACGUAUAUGAUGUCAAUUAAGUAACAAGCAUAACAUGUUUGUAUAACAUGUAUUUGGUUUUGUACCUCUUAAAUUUCAUCAAAAAAGUAUAAUAUGUUUUAUAUAAUAGUAAAGAUAAAGUUAUGACAGAUUUGGCCACUUGUUAUAUAUAAAUCCCCAAUUCUUUAUAUGUUUUAUAUAAUAGUAAAGAUAUGACAAACUUGGACACUUGUUAUAUAUAGAUCCCCAAUUCUUUAUAUAGUUCAUAAAUGUACAUUAUGUGUCAAUUUUGAGAUUUAGAGACUGAGGUUAACAAAUUAAGAACUUUAAAUUUUCUAAAAUAUGAGCUNNNNNNNNNNNNNNNNNNNNNNNNNNNNNNNNNNNNNNNNNNNNNNNNNNNNNNNNNNNNNNNNNNNNNNNNNNNNNNNNNNNNNNNNNNNNNNNNNNNNNNNNNNNNNNNNNNNNNNNNNNNNNNNNNNNNNNNNNNNNNNNNNNNNNNNNNNNNNNNNNNNNNNNNNNNNNNNNNNNGAGAAAUCAUGAACUAAAUUAGGGCUUAUUCUUAUAAAGUAUCCUGAGAAAUUGAAAUUCAAACAAAGAAAACCUCGACAAAUAAGGCAUCAAUUAAAAUAUCUAGCAUCGUUUUCGACCUAUCCAUAUGCACAUGCAAUCCUAUGCCAACAACCAUCGAUACAAAUCAAUACCAAAUGAGGAUGAAACAAACACUUACGGCUUUCUCGUGAGCCCCAGGUUCGACAUGAAGUUGACGUCUAGAUUGCAAUUGCGAAACCUCCGCCGCCUAAAUCAAAUAAAAAAUUAUUUUGAAACUAACGGUGUCAGGAGGGUGUAGGUAGUGAAGACUUAAAAGAGGUUGGCAGUUACAUUCAUUUGUCGGAGAUUGAAGAGGGUUUUUCACAAAAGGAAUAGAAAAACGUAUAUGAUGUCAAUUAAGUAACAAGCAUAACAUAUUUUUGUACCUGUUAAAUUUCAUGAAAAAAGUAUAAUAUGUUUUAUAUAAUAGUAAAAAUAAAGAUAUGACAAAUUUGGUCACUUGUUGUAUAUAAAUCCCCAAUUCUUUAUAUGUUUUAUAUAAUAGUAAGGAUAUGACAAACUUAGACACUUGUUAUAUAUAGAUCCCCCGUUCUUUAUAUAGUUCAUAAACGUACAUUAUGUGUCAAAUUUGAAAUUUAGAGACUAAGGUUAACAAAUUAACAACUUUACAUUUCCUAAAAUAUGAGUUUAAAUUUAUAUAUAUGUAUUACACAAAUUAUACAACAAACUUAUAAUACAUAUAGAUAUAUUAUAUAUAAGGGAAUUGUUUAUAAAGUCCUAAAUAAAUACAUAUAGGUAUGUAGCAUGAAUAUACAACAUUAUACCACCAAAUUCAUUCUUUUAAACUACCAAAUACAAAGAAUUUGACAGCCAAGUAACUUGCAAGUCUUUGACUGUCAAACUGAAGACUGCUUGCACACAUCCUUUAACAAAUUAAACUAUCAAAUACAACCCAAAAUCUAUACAAUUACAAUCAAAUAAAAAUCAUCUAAAGUGUUGCUUCAGUCACGGUUACCUUCUUCCCCACUCAACCCUCAAUCGAACACUCCACCCUUCUUCUCCUUCACUUCCCAGUCAAAAAUCAAACACCAAACAAAACAAUCCUCUUACAGUUCAUCGAUUUCAGUCAAAACAAGAACAAAAGAGAAAAAAAAAAGAGAGAAAAACAACACAACAGCAACCGGAGUUGCUGCUGCCUCCCACGAUACCACCACGAAAAAAAAUCAACAACCCCCUUUGUUUCAUACCUACCCUGCUAGACAAAUCUUCGCAUUCGUUUUUUUUUUUUUUUUUUUUGUUCCGGAGCUGUUAGCCACGAUCACAGCCCAUUUUUCGUUCUUCCGUUUCCUGUAAAAACAAUAAACACAAACACCCUUGAUCGAUCAUUCUGCCAGUCUCAACAUCUUUUGGAUUGGAUGCCAAAAAAAAAAAAAAAAAAAAAGAUGAAUCAAGAGGAUUCCCGGUUGCUGCUUCGUCCUUACCCUUCAAUCCAACUGUCUCCCAUUUCCAUCGCGUUUACUUCCAAUCGAACCAGAAGAAGAGCAGCCAAGAACAGUCAAACCAAACCCUCGAUCUGAAAAUCCUAGAAUCUUUUUCCCUUUUCGCCCAUCGCACCAUUCUUCUUCUUCGUCGAGCUCCACUGCCGAAAAACCCAGUGGUCGCUGAUUGCCCUUCGCACCUCGAUGCUGGAACCGAGCCAGCAGCCGCGAAGCUCCUCGCUUCCUCCCCUUCGGUCUAGUCGACCCCGAAGACACGCUUCUUCCUCCUCGCGAUCUGCAACCGCCGGAUACCUCGCUCAGCCCUCUUUCUGGCCAACGACGAGCAUGAAAACCAAAAGCCGCACCGCUGUCUUGGUGCUUUCCUUCGUGACUGCCAUCAUGUCCGGUUCCUUUCCUUGAUCGACCAACAAAUGAAAACGGGGGGGAUAAAGCCCUAAUUCCUUUUAUGUUGGACCAUUAAACAUGGGAUGCAUACAAAAGCCCAAAGUCAUUUUUUUUUAAUUAGGAAAUGACCAAAAUGUUCUCCUAUUAAACCAUGUAUUCAAAAUUACUCUCAACCCCAAUUAUUGAACCCAUUUGUUUAAAACAACCUGUCAAUUUGUAUUUAUAGUCCUAAUCAUUUAAUCAAAUUACCAAAAAGCCCCUAUACUUUAGUGAAGUUACAAAUCAGCCCCCAAUAGUUUAAAUUUGUUAUGAAAUGGUCCCGAGAGUAAUUAAAAAUUCAAGGGUUGUGGAUUUGCGGUUUCACAUGACAAGUUUUUCAAAAGAAACCGAAUUCGAACAAGAAGAACCUACGCUUCAAGGGUGGGUGCUUGCGUCCCCUUUUUAAUAUUUUAGUUNNNNNNNNNNNNNNNNNNNNNNNNNNNNNNNNNNNNNNNNNNNNNNNNGGGGGGGUACAUGUGCCUAUAUAUUUUGUUUAUAUAAAUAUAUUAUCCUUUAUGCGAGAAUAAAAUAAAUCUAAUUUAUAAAAUUGUUAUUUGAAAAUUGAACAUAUUGUUACAAAGAACUAGUAUAAACUUUUCGUAAACAUAUUGUGGAAUUUUUAUCGUGAAAUAACUAGUCUACACGAUAAAUGUUACAUGAUACAAAAAUAUAUAAUUUUUAUGUGACAUUGUAUAUUAUGACAAGCACAUUAUAACACUUUUUAGUAUUUCAAGGAUUCAAGCUAGUACUAUUCAUGUAUAUUUAUAUGUUUAAACACAUAAAGUUUAUACAUGUACGUAUGUUCAUUACUUUGAAACAUACAUCUUUAUAAAAGCAAGUACAUUACACUUUUACAUACAUACCAAGUAUACUCGUCUUCUAUAAUCUUCAUACAAUGAAAUUCAUUAUGCCUUGUGACCAAUUAAGUUAGGGCUGCGAGUUAUUCACAAACUUUUUGCUUAUGGCCUUUUUAGUGAGACGUUAUUCAUUAGCUGAGUCCAAACACUUAGCAUACCGAUACUACUGCAACUGUUAAUCUUCAGAGCGAGAUAUAUAUAUGUAUAGAUCUACACGGGGUUGACAUCCCCACCUGCGGUUGCUAGCUAGAACCUCGACCGAUCAAUCGAAGCGGGUGAUAAGUGUCAAUGAUUGUUAUUGCAACGUCUAAUGAAGCGUUGUAGGGGGUACACUCAGUCACAUAGCUCGGUUAUAGGGCUUACUAUAACAUUAACUAGAAUAUCUCUCUCUCUCUCUCUCUCUCUCUCUCUCUCUCUCUCUCUUUCUCACUACCAACCAUGGGCUUGGUUGCUUUCAAAACUAUUUUAAGUAUGGAAUUACUUAUCUAACAUAACAAUUUGGUUUUAAAGGAUAUUCAAAGAUUCAUUACAAACACGGUUUAAAGUAUGGAUUUACAUAUACAAAAAUACAUUUUUGCUUUUAAAGACUCAUUACAAACAUUGUUUUAACUAUUGAUAUAAAUACAAAGAAAAUACUUUUUAGACUUAUAUCAAGUAUUACUGUUGUUAGCAAAAAACAUGUAACACUCACUAGCCUUGUGUUGACCUUCAAAACUACAUGUAUUCUCAGAAAUCACGAAAUCACUAAACAAACAUUCAAUCCGGGCUGGAUUGACCUUGUUUACUUGCUAUUGUAUUAUAUGCCUAUCUAUUAAGGCAAUUCAUGUAUUAUUGUUAUUUAUAAAAACCUUGUAUUUAAAUAUCAAGAUGGAACACGAAUGCUAUAUUGUUUAUUAUUGUACUUGUGCUAUAUAUUUAGUUUACCUAUGAUACAUGAACUUAGUCGCACAACCCGAUGUGUUCUGCAAACUCGACCGAAGGUGUGACAGAUUGGUAUCAUAGCUAAAUUGGCUAUAGAGAACUCGUAUCCUCGGAAGAGAAAUACAACUAUAGCAACUAGCUUCUUGGCUACUUACGGUACGAGGAAUCUGGUUUGAAGGGUGACAUAGGGUUGCUGGAUUUCAGACGAUUUAAUUAAUUAAAUGGUCCUGCCCUCCGGUGUUUCCUGUCUAGCCCUCGUCUGUUGUGACAUCCCCAAAAUCUCAGCCAGAAAAGACCGGUUUCAUUUAUGCUUUUAAAAUAAUUUCAGAGUAAAUCCUUUUGAUUUGAAAGAGUUGCGGAAUUUGUUCCCAAAAACAAAACAUGAUAAAACAAUGUUUACCAAAGCAUUUCAUAAAAGAAAUGUAUUUUCAUUAUAUAAUCAAAACUCGGGGUGUCAUGUUCCGAUACAGACCAAUAAGCAUAAAUGAUAACAUUACAAGUCAUUCAACAAAUAUAUACAUAUACAGACUUGUAAACAAAACAACUUGAUGGUUCAUCCAUCUUAUGCCCUCGCGCCACUUCCUGUAAUACAAAUAAAACUGAGUGGGUCAGGCUUGGGAGCCUGGUGAGCAUAUAGGGUUUUCAACCCGCAAUAAAUAAUCAUAUUUAAUUUCCACUAACCAAUAAUAACCCAAUUACCCAUUUCCAUUAUUCUCACUUUAUGUCCCUAAGACAACUAACAUAAGGGACCUAGUCUAAGAAUAUUUCAUCGGGGCGACAACACAUGCUUCGGGGGUUCCUCAGCAAUAUAAGUCAAAUAAGGCAACCAUGAGGGGGAUGGAGUACAACAAAUGAACACCCAAGUUCAUUAACACCUACAGGUGGCGAGCCUGCUACUGUUCCACAAGUCUAUCUAGAAAAGUCCAUGGUUGUCAUCUAAACUCCGCUAGAUGACUAAAUCAAACAACAACGAGGCCUCUCAUCUGUUUAUUACACACCAACUAUCUACCCAUGUUCUACCCAACAUAUUAGUAGAUAAAANNNNNNNNNNNNNNNNNNNNNNNNNNNNNNNNNNNNNNNNNNNNNNNNNNNNNNNNNNNNNNNNNNNNNNNNNNNNNNNNNNNNNNNNNNNNNNNNNNNNNNNNNNNNNNNNNNNNNNNNNNNNNNNNNNNNNNNNNNNNNNNNNNNNNNNNNNNNNNNNNNNNNNNNNNNNNNNNNNNNNNNNNNNNNNNNNNNNNNNNNNNNNNNNNNNNNNNNNNNNNNNNNNNNNNNNNNNNNNNNNNNNNNNNNNNNNNNNNNNNNNNNNNNNNNNNNNNNNNNNNNNNNNNNNNNNNNNNNNNNNNNNNNNNNNNNNNNNNNNNNNNNNNNNNNNNNNNNNNNNNNNNNNNNNNNNNNNNNNNNNNNNNNNNNNNNNNNNNNNNNNNNNNNNNNNNNNNNNNNNNNNNNNNNNNNNNNNNNNNNNNNNNNNNNNNNNNNNNNNAUUUCUGGCACGCAAAUCGAUGCAAAACGGGAGAGAGAAGAGAGAAAAGAGCAAAAGAACUCGGCUGCCCUCGCAUCCUAUUUAUAGGAGGCUGGAGCCUCGGAGUACGCGGGGCGUACUGCUCCGAAACGUCAUUGCUUACGUAUCCAAAGUGUUCGAGUGCGAGUGUCGACAUUCCUCGGCGUACGCAGGGCGUACUUCGGAUGAGUCCGAUGACUCCUCUUCGGAUAAUGCCGGAUUUUCCAAUUAAUUUUAAAUACAAAUUAUUUAAUAAACUUCGGAAAUUCAUAUCUUCUUCAUACGAACUCCGUUUUCGACGUUCUUUAUAUCCACGCGAAGGUGAGACUACGCUCUACAACUUUCGUUUAGACUCCGUCGGCUAAUUUUAACUUUAUUUUUAUUAUUUAUUUUUAAUAGGUCGGGACAGAAAAACUUCGUUAUAAAUUCAUAACUUCUUCGUUUGACGUCCGUUCUCGCCUAACUUUUUAUCGCUUCGAUACCAACAACGAGAUCUUCGAUUCUCGUUUAGAUCGAUUCGACUAAAAACCGCUCGAUCUCAAAUCGAGUAAUUCGGGCUGCAUACCGCUAAGUCGAAACUUCAAUAAAUCAUAACUUCCUCAUACGAAGUCAUAUUUGGGCGUUCUUUAUAUAUACAGAAACCUCGUUUCAACUACUACAACAUUAUCCAAAGAUAUCAAGUUUAUUUUACACUUAAAUUUUGACGCUUAUUUUUUUAUUCUUAAUUAAUCAAACCACAUAAUUAAGCAAUUAAGCACAAAACACAUAAUACUCAAACAAUACAGUCUUAUUAUCUCAAAACAGGUUACAAAGGUUAACCUAGACUAUUACAUUGCUAAAAAUGGCAAGCCCGGAAACACAGGCGUUACAUCUGUACUUGGUAGUCUUAGAUUACAAAACAAAAUUUAAUAAUAUUAAAAACCCACCACAAUAGUAUAUAAGACUUAUAUACACUAUGACCCAUGAUGAGAACACUUAAUAAAACUCUAACAUACCUCCAACUAAAACUAUCAACUCAACCCUUUAGGUCAAACGCCUCAAUUAAGGUUAGUGUCGUACAUAAGUCAUAUCAUAAAUAAACCUGGAACGUAUGUGUAUGUUAUUUAUGGUCGGGCUGGUGAUCAACCAACGUUGAGCAAGGAGUUUGACAGACUACAAUGGUUGAAAGUUCUAGAGAUUGAAGGAUGUUCUCAAGAUUCGCUGCAGAAACCUAGUACCUUAGCAACCUUAUAUCAACCCCAAAACAACAUCUACAUUUUAAAAAUACUUAAAAAUCUAGGAUAAUGUUUAGAUUUUUAGAGUUCGCAUAAACCCAAAGAAGAACAAAGAAUUAAUAGCUCUGCUACCGUCGUAGCAGAGAAACCCAUAGUUCCUAAUCGAUCAUUCAGUAGUGUCCAAACUCUCUCUAUCAUUUGAAGUUGGUAGGAUUUUAGUUCUGUCUCCAUAAUACGGAAAUCUAUAGGAUGUUUAGAAUCAAUCACUUUCUAUAAUUUGGAAAUCUGUAGGAUUUCUAGAAUCAAUCACUCUCUAUAAUUUCGAACCUUACCAUGAAAGAUCGGAGGUGACUACUUACACCUCCCGAUUUAAUGACCUCGCUAACCUUAGCCCAUGAAUGGUGAACCUGGAAUAAAAGGAGACAAAAAAGUACAUCUGAGUAUUAGCAUCACCAGUUCAAGGUCUGGUUACUGAGUCCAGAUCCACUACCUUUGAUAGUGCUAAGCAAUAGUCCUAUCAAUUGACUGAGCAUUGUAUCCGUCAGGGUAACAUAACCCUACAAACCGAAAAGAACCAGAUGAGGAGUACAAAGAGGAAGUUCCGUGGAAACUCAAAUGGGAACUCCAAGAAUCACAAAACCAAUCCAAAAAUUUUGCUUGUGUACUCCGUAAUCACAAGCACUUCCCUCUAUCAAAUCCAUACUCUGAGAAUCUACCUGUAACAUCCGGAUUCCCAGGUAUAUUAUUUUAUUCAUUUAUUUUGGAGUUUGUGGAGGGACACGGUGAGUUGGUGCUUAGACUCACGGAGUAGGGUCGCGAAUUCUUAUCCGGAUUGAUGACCGGACUCGGCGAGUUCAUGGGUGGACUCGGCGAGUCCGCGCUAUUUAAUGAAACCCUAAUAUCUCGGGUUUGGGACCUAUUUAAAGGCCCUUAGGGCCUUCAUUUGCGACUAUCAGUCCCUUGAGAGAAACCCAGGAGUGCUUGAGCGUUUUGGGAGAGAGAGGAAGCUAUUUUUGACCUUUGAAGUAUUGUUUAGCAAGGAGAAGGAGGUUCUAGUCAAGUGGAAGCAAAGGAGGUUGACAUUCUGUGGAUUUGGAGCUCAGAGCAUCAUAUUUAAGGUAAUAAUUCGGCUUCCCUACUGUUGUUAUGAUGAUCAUACGGAUUUAAGGUUUCUUGGACCCUUUAUUGGUUAGAUUUGAUGUCCAAUUAGUCCCUAUUUGUGAUGAGGCUUUAGAUAUGGAUCCGUAGAGGUCCAGAGAGCCUUACUCAUCAAGCUUUAUGAAGAUCAAUGGGGGUUUUGACCAUGGGUUAUGAUAUCCGAGACUAAAACAUCAUAUAGGAUCAAAUAUAUGUUGUUUGUGCAUCAAGAUAUAGACUUUACGUGAUUAUCAUGCUUGGGAAGGUCGGAUCUAUGGAUUAAUGGAAUAGAUUUGACCUCAGGAGGUCAUUUGGGUUUGUGCAUGGCAUUGACUCGACGAGUAGGGUUAGGGUUUCCCUGUAAAUUACACAGUUGGUGACUCGCCGGGUUGGAGAAUGACUCGGUGAGUCAGAAGGGAUCUAGGGGUUGUGAGUACGCGAUGGAACUCGCCGAGUUCAUAAUUGGACUCGACGUGUUGAGUCGGGGUGGCCCCACGAUUCAAGCCAGGUGUCACUCGUCGAGCAAGGGAAAGAAUCGAUGUGUUAAGCGGGACUAGAGGGGUACGGGUGGACACGGGUGAACUCGCCGAGUUGCCCGAAGGCACUCGACGAGUCGGGUCAAAGGUUGACCGUUGACCAGCGUUGACUAGGGUUGACUAGAUAGUGUGAGUCAAACAAAGUCAGGAAAGUAUUAAUGAGAGUUGUACUUAUGAUAUAGGAGGACGAUAGGUCGGGAGAUUGGGCACGAGUGAUUAUCCGACAUCAGCGAGGUGAGUCUUCUCACUAUGCCUUACCCGAUGGGGUAAUUAUGUGUGACCGGAAGGUCUUACGUGUAUGAUGUAUAUGUGAUGUAUGCUAUAUGUGAUAUGUUGUGAUACGAGUAUGAUAAUGUGGACCGGAAGGUCAAGAUGAUAUGGACCGAAAGGUCAACAGAGUCUGGGAUGGAANGGAACGGAAGCCUAUGGCCUGGAAAGGCGUAUGUGCGGUAUGUGGUAUUUUGGGGAACUCACUAAGCAUUUGUGCUUACAGUGUUAUGUGUUAUGUGUUUCAAGUACUAGUGAGGACCGCGUGAAGGCGCCAGCUUGAUCAGUACACACUUGCAGAUGUCAUGUUUUUGAGAUCUUGGGUUAUGAAUUAUGUUAUGUAUUUUGUGGAAACAUUGGGUACUUGAAUUUUGGACGAUUUAAUAAUGAAAUGUUUUUAUUAAAAAUUAAAUGAAAAAUUGUCUUAAAUUUUACGGUGUUACAAAUUGGUAUCAGAGCCUUGGUUUAAGGGAUUCGGAUUCACCUUCGGGUGUAUUUGAACUCAAACUGAGGAUUUGAGAGAUUUUUCAUAAGAUAAACAAUUUUUCUGAAAAUAAAAGAAUUGAAAAGAUACGCAAGUGAGCAGUGUGUACGAUCAGCCAGCGCCCGAAUAGUGAUUUCCCAAAAUACCCUUACAUUUUGUGUUAUGAGAUAUAUUGAAAGGUGCUACGCAUGCUAGAGUAGGCUAGGUAUUCAUAUUAGGACUAGAGUGGCCUGAUUUGUGAUGCCUUAGCCUAGGAAGAUUUCUGCGGCCAUGAUAUGCUUUAGAGUAAGUGGGUAGCAGUGAGGUGCUAUGAGAGUCUAUCGAAGGGUAGUUUAUGUGUGAAAAGAGAUAGAGUACUUGUGAUUUGGGAUCCUCGGAGGAGAACUUGGGGUGGAUGCUGAUGCGGUGUGGACGGUAGUAUUGGGCCCGUACUACUGAAGACACCGAGUCAGUGCGCAGUCCAAGUAAGAAUCUUUAGGGUACCAAGGAAUAAGUAGGGUGGGUUUAUCGAGUGUAUGUAUACUCGGGCGAGUCCCUGAUAUUUCUUUAUGUUGUAUUUCAGAGGUAGAUCAUGGUUGGGACACGCCAUACACCAAAGAUCAGCGGGACGAGUGAUGAGGAGAUCCAUAGAAUCAUCUACGAGGUCAUGGCUGCGGCCAUCAGGGCUGAGAUUCCAUAGAUGUUCGGGUCUAUUAAGACCACCUUGAUUGAGACUUUUGAUGAGCGGUAUGCCGCUCUUUCUGAUGCUGCUAUUGCAGCAGCCACUACGGCCGUUGUUGCUGCCAGGCCAUAGGGGGGUGACUUGUUGUUGUACCGGGAGUUCAGCAACACGAGGCCACCAGAGUUUGACGGGACUCAGGAUCCGAUAGCCGCAAUGAGGUGGAUCUCUGACAUAGAGGGAUGCUUCUACACAUGUUCAUGUCCGGAGCAUCUGAGAGAUCGAUUCACGUUGAACCAGCUUCGCUUGGGGGUGAAGCACUGGUGGAAGUUCGUGACAACGCAUUAUUCUUCAGCAGAGCUUGCUGUGGUGACCUGGGAGAGGUUCACCUCUAUGUUUCAUGACGAGUAUGUUCCCCCGGUGGAACGGGAGCGUUUGGCUCAGGAGUUCUUGACCCUCAAGCAGGGUAUUGAGUCAGUUACUGUGAUUACCCGGAUGUUUCACGAGAGGGUGAUGUUCUGCCCUAAGCACGUGUCGACCGAGCAGGAACUUAUGAGCCGAUAUCUGAGAAUUCUGAGGAGAGACAUUCAUGAUUUUGCAGCAAACUCAUCAUACCGGACAUUUGCUGAGCUUCAGGAAAAUGCCCGGAAGAGGGAGAUUGAGUUGGAGACGUAGGCCAGGGAGGAGGCCGAGUCUCAAAAGGUGGAUUGGCGAUCGACACAGUCUCAGCCGGCAGCCAAGCGGGCCAAGCCCGCCGAUUCGAGGUAUGGGGGUCAGAAGGGCUGCACUUGCGGAAAGUGCGGCAAGGGUCAUGAUGGAGUUUGUAGGGUUGGUGCUUGCUAGAAGUGUGGCAAGGAGGGGCAUAUCGCCAAGGAUUGCCCCAAGGGAUUCAUGGUCUGCUUUCAUUGCAACCAGACUGGGCACCGAAAGGCGGAGUGUCCACAUUUGCGAGGGACGACACCGGGAGCAUCUCAGGGAUCUGCCCCUGCUACUACGAGCAGCAGUUGGUGACGAUCCGAGAUCCUAGUGGGGGAGUGUUGACAGUUUAUGGUGAGGGGACUCGUAGUGAUUCAACAUUCUGUUCGCCUACCAGAGUGAGGCAGAGUUUGCAGCAGGGCUGCAAGGGGUUCGUAGCCUAUGUGAUGGAUACGCGUGAGGUUGCUGGGAGGCCGAGUUCAGUUAGUGAUGUUCCGAUAGUGCGUGAGUUCCCGGACGUAUUUCCUGAGGAGUUUCCGGGUGUGCCUCCUGAGUGGCAGGUGGAGUUUCGCAUAGAUUUGAUUCCCGAGGUUGCACCUAUCGCUAAGGCGCCAUAUCGCCUAGUACCGCCAGAGAUGCAGAAGUUAUCCUCAAAGUUGUAGGAACUGUUGGGGAAGGGGUUCAUUCGUCCGAUCAACUCACCUUGGGGAGCGUCGAUUCUCUUCGUUAAGAAGAAGGAUGGUUCACACCGGAUGUGUAUAGAUUACCGGGAGUUGAACAAGUUAAUGAUUAAGAACCGUUAUCCGUUGCCGAGGAUUGAUGACUUAUUUGAUCAGCUUCAGGGGGCAUCUUGGUUCUCCAAGAUUGAUUUGAGGUCUGGAUAUCACCAGAUGAGGGUGCGCGAUGAAGAUAUUCAGAAGACUGCGUUCCAAACACGAUACGGGCACUAUGAGUUCGUGGUGAUGCCUUUCAGGCUCACCAAUGCACCAACAACAUUCAUGGAUCUCAUGAACAGAGUAUGCAGGCCAAUGUUGGAUCGUUCGGUGAUCAUGUUCAUCGAUGAUAUAUUGGUAUAUUCGAGGUCUAGAGAGCAGCAUGAGGAGCAUUUGAGGGAGAUCCUCGGGGUUUUGAGAUCGGAGAGGCUCUAUGCCAAAUUCUCCAAGUGUGAUUUUUGGUUAUGAGAGGUCCAAUUCCUGGGACAUCUCGUUAACCAGAAUGGGAUUUUGGUCGAUCCGGCCAAGAUUGAGGCGAUGAUGAGCUGGGAGGUACCGAAGUCUGCCUCCGAGAUCAAGAGUCUUCUGGGGUUGGCCGGUUAUUAUCGGAGAUUCAUUCAGGAUUUCUUCAAGAUUGCAGUGCCACUCACCAGUUUGACCCGAAAGGGUGUUGCUUUCUCAUGGGGUCUAGAGCAGCAGACCUCAUUUGAGACUCUUCACCAAAAAUUGUGUGAAGCCCCGGUGCUAUCCCUCUCAGAGGGAGUUGAUGAUUUCGUGGUUUACUAUGACGCAUCUAUAUCCGAGUUAGGCGCGGUGCUCAUGCAGAGGGGGCAUGUGAUAGCGUAUGCAUCGAGGCAGCUGAAGCCUCAUGAGGUGAGGUAUCCCACUCACGAUCUGGAGUUGGGGGCAGUAGUGUUCGCCCUCAAGAUUUGGCGUCACUAUCUAUAUAGGGUUCGAUGUACCAUAUACACGGACCACAACAGUUUGAAGUACUUGAUGGAUCAGCCCAACUUGAACACGCGGCAGAGGAGGUGGUUGGAUAUGGUAAAGGAUUAUGAUUGUGAGAUCCUGUACCACCCGGGCAAGGAUAAUGUGGUAGCCGACACCCUGAGUCGUAGGGCAGAGAGUGUCCAGGUAUGAGACAUUUGCAUGAGAUUGACUGUGAUGAAUCUGGUGUUGGACACCAUUCGAGGGGCCCAUGUUGAGGCAGUGAGACCGGAGAAUCAUAAGAGAGAGAGGGUUAUCAGGCAGGUGUCGGAGUUCGUUACCGAUAGCCGAGGGCUUCUGACUUUUCAAGGUCGGAUUUGGGUACCGUUUGUGGGCGGGGCGCGUACCAUUUUGAUGGAGGAGGCGCAUAGAUCGAGGUUCUCGAUCCAUCCCGGGGCCACUAAAAUGUAUUUGGACCUAAAGAGGGAGUAUUGAUGGCCCUGUAUGAAGAGGGACGUCGCGUGGUUCAUUGAAAGGUGCCUAACCUGUCGUAGGGUUAAGGACGAGCACCAAAGACCGCAUGGUAAGUUGCAUCCAUUAGAGGUUCCCAAGUGGAAGUAGGAACAAAUUACCAUGGCUUUUAUCACCAAAUUGCUGAGGACUGCGAGGGGCGUCGAUGCAAUUUGGGUGAUUGUAGACAGGUUGACAAAGAGUGCUCACUUCCUUGCUAUUAGUGAGAGCUCUUCCGUUGAGAGGUUGGCAGAGAUGUACGUGAUGGAGGUGGUAUCGCAACAUGGAGUGCCGAUCUCGAUUGUCUCAGAUCGAGAUGUGCGUUUCACUUCCAGAUUCUGGAAGAAAUUUCAUGAGGAAUUGGGUACGAGGCUGCAUUUUAGUACCGCAUACCACCCACAGACUGACGGGCAGAGUGAACGGACGAUUCAGACGCUCGAGGACAUGCUCCGAGCAUGUGUGUUGGAUUUCGGCGGGAGUUGGGACACGUAUUUGCCCUUGGCAUAGUUUUCCUACAACAACAACCAUCAUUCGAGCAUUGGUAUGCCACCCUUUGAGCUGUUGUAUGGGAGGAGGUGUCAGACUCCUAUCUGCUGGGGAGAGGUAGGGCAACGUGUGAUGGGUAGUACAGAGAUUGUGCUUUAGACGACAGAGCAGAUACAGCAGGUCAGACAGAGGUUGCUGACCGCUCAGAGUCGCCAGAAGAGUUAUGUGGACAGGUGCCGGUCCGAGCUCGAAUUUCGGGUCGGCAACUUUGUACUCCUGAAGGUCUCUCCUUGGAAAGGAGUGAUCCGAUUCAGGAAGAGGGGCAAGCUAGGGCCCCGAUAUAUUGGUCCUUUUAGGGUGAUCACGAGGGUAGGCAGGGUAGCCUAUCGGUUGGAACUACCUGUAGAGUUGGGCCAGAUUCAUGACAGCUUCCACGUAUCUCAGUUGUGAAAGUGUAUUGCUGACGAGUCGGCAGUGCUACCAUUAGAGGAUAUUCAGGUGGAUGCGAGCCUGAACUAUGUUGAGAGACCGGUGGCUAUUAGGGAUUGGAAGAUCAAAGUUCUGAGGAACAAGGAAGUGCCUCUGGUGCAGGUCCAGUGGCAACAUCAGAAGGGGUCAGAGUUGACUUGGGAGCCGGAGCGUGAGAUGAGUGAGCAGCAUCCAUAGUUGAUUGCAGAGUAAGACUUCGAGGACGAAGUCUGAUUCUAGUGGGGGAGAAUUGUAACAUCCGGAUUCCCAGGUAUAUUAUUUUAUUCAUUUAUUUUGGAGUUUGUGUAGGAACUCAGCGAGUUGGUACUUAGACUCGCCGAGUAGGGUCGCGAAUUCUUAUCCGGAUUGAUGACCGGACUCGGCGAGUUCAUGGGUGGACUCUGCGAGUCCGCGCUGUUUAAUGAAACCCUAAUCUCUCGGAUUUGGGACCUAUUGAAAGGCCCUUAGGGUCGUCAUUUGCGACUAUCAGUCCCUUGAGAGAAACCCUAGAGUGCUUGAGCGUUUUGGGAGAAAGAGGAAGCCAUUUUUGACCUUUGAAGUAUUGUGUAGCAAGGAGAAGGAGGUUCUAGUCAAGAGGAAGCAAAGGAGGUUGACAUUCUGUGGAUUUGGAGCUCAGAGCAUCACAUUUGAGGUAAUAAUUCGGCUUCCCUUCUGUUGUUAUGAUGAUCAUAUGGAUUUAGGGUUUCUUGGACCCUUUAUUGGUUAGAUUUGAUGUCCAAUUAGUCCCUAUUUGUGAUGAGGCUUUAGAUAUGGAUCCAUAGAGGUCCGGAGAGCCUUACUCAUCAAGCUUUAUGAAGAUCAAUGGGGGUUUUGACCAUGGGUUAUGAUAAUUGGCACUAAAACAUCAUAUAGGAUCAAAUAGAUGUUGUUUGUGCAUCAAGAUAUAGACUUUACGUGAUUAUCAUGCUUGGGAAGGUCGGAUCUAUGGAUUAAUGGAACAGAUUUGACCUCAGGAGGUCAUUUGGGUUUGUGCAUGGCAUGGGCUCACCGAGUCCAAGAACAGACUCGACGAGUAGGGUUAGGGUUUCCCUGUAAAUCACACACUUGGUGACUCGACGGGUUGGAGAAUGACUCGGUGAGUCAGAAGGGAUCUAGAGGUCGUGAGUACGCGAUGGAACUCGCCGAGUUCAUAAUUGGACUCGAUGAGUUGAUUCGGGGUGGCCCCACGAUUCAAGCCAGGUGUCACUCGUCGAGCAAGGGAAAGAAUCGAUGUGUUAAGCGGGACUAGAGGUGUACGGGUGGACACGGGUGAACUCGCCGAGUUGCCCGAAGGCACUCGACGAGUCGGGUCAAAGGUUGACCGUUGACCAGCAUUGACCAGGGUUGACUAGUGUUGAAUUGAUAGUGUUAGUCAAUCAAAGUCAGGAAAGUAUUAAUGAGAGUUGUACUUAUGAUAUAAGAGGACGAUAGGUUGGGAGAUUGGGCACGAGUGAUUAUCCGACAUCAGCGAGGUGAGUCUUCUCACUAUGCUUUACCCGAUGGGGUAAUUAUGUGUGAUCGGAAGGUCUUAUGUGUAUGAUGUAUAUGUGAUGUAUGUUGUAUGUGAUAUGUUGUGAUACGAGUAUGAUAAUGUGGACCGGAAGGUCAAGAUGAUAUGGACCGGAAGGUCAACAGAGUCUGGGAUGGAAAUCCCCUGAGACACUUGGAACGGAAGAUCCUAUGGCCUGGAAAGGCAUAUGUGCAGUAUGUAGUAUUCUGGGGAACUCACUAAGAAUUCGUGCUUACAGUGUUAUGUGUUAUGUGUUUCAGGUACUAGCGAGGAUCGUGGGAAGGCGCCAGCUUGAUCAGUACACACUUGCAGAUGUCAUGGUUUUGAGAUCUUGGGUUAUGAAUUAUGUUAUGUAUUUUGUGGAAACAUUGGGUACUUGACUUUUGGAUGAUUUAAUAAUGAAAUGUUUUUAUUAAAAAUUAAAUGAAAAAUUGUCUAGCUUAAAUUUUACGGUGUUACAUUACCCUACUAUACCAAGUGCAAUUUCCACCAUGUCGGAAAUUGCAUGGUCUGCAACAUCUGUAACUUAAGAGGUCACACCUUUAGGUACUGCAGAAAGGCCCAAACAAAAAAACUUCAACCACCCUUACAGGAGGAAACCGAAAUUGCUUCGAAUAUAAUCAACAAGGGCAUUUCAAGAAGGACUCCCUGAAAUAAAAGAAUCUGGGUGACAAAGGAAGAGCAUUUGUGAUAGGUGUUGGAGAUGAUCUCCAAGAACCAACUGUGGUUACUAAUAUGUUUCCCAUCAACAAUAUUUAUGCUUCCGUAUUAUUUGAUACUCAUGCCGAUAGAAUCUCUCUUUUGCAUAAGUUUAGAAGCUUGAUUAACCAUAAAUCAUGCAAACUUAACAAAGCUUGCACUAUAGAAGUAGCGAACGAACAGUUAAAAAGCACCUUAGAAAUACUCACUACUUUCCUCCUCACACCUAAUAACCAUGUCUUUCAUGUCAACCUAAUACUUGGAAGUUUCGAUAUGAUCAUUGGAAUGGACUGGUUAUCACUUCAUCAAGCAGAUCUUAUGUCACAAAAAAGUCGGUCGACUACCUUUACCAAACAACAAAGCCCUCAUGACUUAUAGAUGCAAAUCGGGAAAGAACCUAGGAGUCAUCACUUGCAUGAAUUCAAGGAAGCAUUAUAGAAAAGAUGCUUCACUUUAUUGGCCCACGUGAUGGAUAAGAAAGACAAGGGUGAGAAAAUCAAAUACAUACCACAAAUGUGCGAUUACCCGGACGUAUUUCCAAAAUAUCUAACUAAAGUACCUCCAGUCAGAUAGGUCGAAUUUCGAAUCGACCUAAUCCCAUGUGCGACACCAAUGGCUAGAUCUCUUUAUCGUCUAGCUGCAUCGGAAAUGCAAGAACUAUCCAAUCAACAUCAAGAACCUAUUGACAAAGGCUCUAUCCGGUCAAGCUUCUCUCCAUAAGGAGCUUCGUUAUUGUUUGUCAAAAAGAAGGAUGGAUCGUUUAGGACGUGCAUCGACUAUCGAGAGUUGAAAAAACUCACCGUAAAAAACCGAUAUCCACUCCCGAGGAUCGAUGAACUGUUCGAACAACUACAAGGAUCCUGUUACUACUCACAGACCAUCUAAGAUCCGACUAUCAUCAACUCAAAUUUCAAGAAGCAUACAUUCAAAGGACGACAUUCACGACUUGGUAUGGUCACUAUGAGUUUCUGGUUAUCCCAUUCCGACUGACCAACGACGCCAACCGAAUUAUGCUAAUUCUUAGGGCUUGCAGGUUAUUAUCGAAAAUUGAUCGAGAACUUCUACAAAAUAGCCAAGCCUCUGACUGAUUUAACCCAGAAAUAAAUAAAGUUCAAUUGGGGAUACAUUAAAGAAUCUACCUUUCGGAAGUUGAAGCAAUUAUUUAGCACUGCACCAAUUUUGUCUCUCCCAGAAGGAACAUAAGACUUUGUAGUAUUCUAUCAUGCCUCACACCAAGGUUUAUGAUGUGUAGUGAUGUAAAAAAAAUAAAUUCAUUGCAUAUACAUCCACACAACUUAAGCCAAACAAGACCAGCUACACUAUCCAUAAGUUAUAGUAAAGAGGUAUAGUGUUUGCCUUCAAGACUUGGAGACACUACCAAUACAUGACGAAGUGUGUCGUGUCCACAGGCCACAAAAACCUUCAACACAUCUUCGACCAGAAGGAGCUCAACAUGAGACAAUAAAGAUGGGUAGAAUUAUUAAAUGACUACAAAUGCAAAAUUUGUUAUCAUACUGGAAAAGCAAAUGUCAUGACAGAUGAUUUAACUAGGAAAUAGCAAGUAAAGCCACUUCGUGAUAAAAGCCUUAACCCUAACCACCCACUCCAAUCUCACCACCCAAAUUCAAGAUAAUCAACUGGAAGCACUCAAAACCCGAGAAUAUCGUAGAAGAAAACUACGAGGUAUGGACAAACGAUUCGACCUCAAGGGAGACGGAACACAAUACUUCAUGAAUCAAAUUUGGAUCCUAAGGUUUUAUGAAGUCAAGAGUCUAAUUUUAAAUGAAGCUCAUAAGUCAAGAUAUUCGAUACAACAUGGAUCAGACAAGAUGUAUCUUGAUCUUAAGAAGCUUUAUUGGGGCCCAACAUGAAGGCAUAGAUUUCCACAUAUGUCGGUAAAUGCUUGACCUGCUCCAAAGUCAAAGCAGAGUACCAAAAGCCAGCAAGAUUAGUACAACAACCGUCAAUCCCAUAAUGCAAAAAGGGACAUAUAAACAUGGAUUUCAUAAUAAAGUUGCCAAAGACAUCAAGCGGUUAUGAAUCCAUAUCGGUUAGUAGUUCAACGUUUCACCAAUUCAGCCCAUUUCUUAGCCAUCAAAAAGACCGACAAGAUGAAGAAACUCACUAUGACCUAUCUCAAGGAAAUAGUCAGACGGCAUGGUGUGCCAAUAUCUAUUAUCUCAGACCGAGAUAGUAGAUUCACUUCCACGUUUUGGCAAUCUGUAAUGCUUGGUUCCUGGUAUGCAUUUAAACUGUAUUUUAUUCAUUUUUGUAGAGCAACUCGACCACUUAGGAUCCCCAAAAUCGUCAAGUAGUAAUCAGAAGAGACAUAGGAUUUUAAGUAACCUAUUCGACGAGUUAAGAGCCUCAAUUCGACGAGUAGGGCUGCCAUAAUGAAACACUAAUUUCAGGGCUUUGCACCCUGUUUAAGCAUCUUAAUCCCCACUUGUUGGCCUUAUUUCUAGCCUCUAAUUCCCAAUCCGUAGAUUCAGAAACCCUAAUGUGUUUGUGAGCUUGUGAGCCAUUUUUGAGUGAGACUUGGUGUGUUUUUAAGCUUAUGAAGGAAUGAGAAGCUUAGCGGUUCAAGAAGAAGCUAGUAGAUCCAAAGAAUCCACUUCAUUCUCAUCAUUUUUGGUAAGCAAGUCUCAAACUUUCUUAGUAGCUUCUUAGAUCUUUUUAUUAUCAUUUUAUUGGGUUUUGGUCCAAGAAGUAUGAUAUUUGGGAUAUGGACGUCCCAAGUGAGUAUAUCAUUAGAUCUGGAACGAUGGAGGGCUUUCAUGGCAUAAAGGUGCAAACUUUAUGGCCAUUGAAGCCCCAUGCAAGCUAUAUGAUGUCAUUUUGGUCUUUUAAGCUCUAAACGGCCAUGAAUGAAGGGAAAUGUGGAAGCUUUACGUGUUCAUGUAGUGUCUAGGGUCCAUAUCUCAGUUUAUAUACCUUGGUUUAGAGCAUUGGUGGCUUUUGGAUCAAGAUCUAGUUCCUAAAGAGUUAGGGUUUGAGCUAAACCCAUUAAGUAAAGGUAUUAAUGGGUAAAUUUGGAAAGUUUACUCUUAAAACGACAUUUUCAGUGUAUAUGAGAAGUAUGAAGCUUAGAUCUAAAGAGUAGGGGCUUAAUCCAUUAAGAUGGCCCAAAUAGAAUGAUGAACUCGUCAAGUCCAUAGAGGAACUCGACGAGUUGAGUCGAUUUGAACCGAUUCUGAAUAGGGUAGAACUCGAUGAGUUAAAUCGAUUUAGGGGCGGAGGACGUCAUGUACAGUAUCACAACAAUUGCAUAAUAGUAAUCAAAGUAAACACAGACAUUACAUUAAUAAAAUAUAGUAUUUACAUAUGUUCAAUACAUAUUUUGUAUGACAUCAAAAUGUAUAACAAAAGUAUAAAAGACGUGACUCGAAAAGCUCCAUCUUUUCAAAAUCCUGUGGGAGUACCUGUUUACUGGUUCCUUGAGAAUACAAAUGAUUUUGAAAGUGUAUCAACAUUUAAGUUGGUGAGUUCAUAAGUAUGUAUUUGAGGUGGAAAGCUUGUAUUUGUUCUUUGAAAAAUGUUAUAGUGUACUUCCAGAAAAUCCAUUAUUUUCUUUUAGUGAAUGUCAUUUAGGCUUAGACCUUAAGACCAAAAUGUAUGUAGUUACUGUAUUCUAAAAUAGCAAACUGUACUUUGAAAUAGUGAGUUGUACUUUGUAAUAGUAAACCAUAGUCUUAUUAAGAAACAAAACCAUGUCAUGAAUGUUUCUUGAAAUCAUAUGUUGAACUAGUGUACUAGUGUACUCUGUACUUAGAAAAGUAGUGUAUUGUAGUAGUGCCUGUAUGAAAAACCUUUUUGUAUGAAUACCUGGAAUCCACCAGCUGUAGUGUAAAGUAGUAUAUUGUAGUGUAAAUUAGUGUACUAUGGUUUCAUUAUUUAAAAUAAAACCUUUGAGGUAGUGUUAAUCUCUUAAACUAAUACUGUAGUUGAUACUAUUGUAUGUUUCAUAUAACCAUGCUUGAUAUGACUAGUGGCCUCUACAACGUUCUUCAUACGUCGAAAUGUUAUGACAUUUGUCACCCCAGGCCUGUCGGCCUAGCUGUUGUAAGCAGCUCAGGUGUAGGAUUGUUAGUCCCGUGUAGAUCUAUACACAAAUUCACGCUCUCCCUCCAGGAGACUCCGGUUAUAAUUUAUAGGACUUAGUAUUGUACCCUGAUGGGUACCCCGAAGUAGUGCCUCACAACCUUGUAUUAACUAGUUUACGUGUCGUGUAGUAGUGUUCUCUUGUACUUGAAACUGUAUGUAUUACCUUGUAGUAGUGUAUUUUGUAAUCUAAAGAAUUAUACUUAAAUAAUUAUUUAAUAGUGUAUCCUUGAAUUAGUGUAAUAGAAUAGUGUUCCAUAAACUAUACCUAUUAUAGUUUAUAUAACUUUUUAUGUAUGGUGUUCUUUGAGCAUGUAAAAUAGUGUAGUGGUUGAUAAACUAUACCAACCAAAAUUUUAAAUGUAUACCUGUAAUGAACUAAAGCAUUGCAAUAUAAUAGUGUGUAUAAAGCGGUAGUAAGAGAUUUAUGAAAAAUUACCCUUUUGCUCGACAUGCUACAAAGGGUUAAAAUAUAAAAUAUAUUUUGGUAAAUGUAGUGAUAAAUCAUGUUGGAACAACUGCAAUGUUUUGAUGUGUUUUGAAAUCGUUUGAAAGUUAACACAAGAGUCCUUGUAUUAAACUUGUAUCCCCCCCCCCANGCAAAAUAAAAAUUUAAAUUAAUGAAAAUGUAGGGGUAUGAACUCACCUCUAGUGCGUGUUAGAAUCUGGAUACUGGAAUUGUAGAGAUGAUCCUCAGGCUAACGUAUGUGGGAAUAACAGUAUCCUGAUAUUAUUUAAACGUUUACUCACAUUUAAAUUAGCGAAAUAAUUAUUUAAUGUGUUAAACAACACUUAAUCUAUGUAAGAAAUAAUUAUCGAAAAUUAUUUUGAGUGUAGAAGAGGGUUUUCGGUCCAGCCUUUACCAAAAUCCGUGAUUUCGGUCUUAAAUCCUCAACCGAGAACCAGGUUCUUGGUCUUAUGGUGUUUUCGGUUGGGAACUUGUUUUCGGUCAUAUGAAAAUUUGAAUAUUGUUCUUGGUGGAAUUUUUGAAGAUUUGAAGGAUUGUUCUUAAAUGUUUGAAGGUUCUUGGAUGAAGUUUUGAGAGAAAAAUGUAUGUGUUUUCGAUUUGAAAGGUGAGAAAAUGACUAAGUUUUCGAGUGACAUAUAUAUAGCGGUUGAGUUUUCGCCCGGAAAGGGGGUUCUCGGCCGAAAAGGGUUUGGUGUCCGAGGUCUGAUUUCGGUCCGAGGAGUUUGCGGACGAGAAGGGUUUUCGGUGCAAGGGUUCUCAGUUCCAAAGAGAGAAAUGUUGAAUUUUAAGUGUAUAUUCUUCUAAGCACUUAUAUAAAAACAUCAUUUAUAAUUUAAAUUAUGUUCUAACCCUCAUAAACUUAAUGAAACAAAUAAAACUCGAAAUUUUAUUUAAAGGAUUUGACUUUUCUUCACUUGAAAGUAAUGGGUUGUUACACAUGAUUUUGAUAUAGUGUUUUGAUAUGAUGUUUUUAUAUACUAUAAAUUAUGUUUUUACGAGAUGGUUUGGGAUAUUAUGAUAUUAUUUAUAAAUUAAAAAUGAAAUUUUUGGACCGUAUUUUUGGGAUGUUUCAAGUUAGUAUCAGAGCCUUGGUUUGAGGGAUUCGGGCAAACUCUCGGGUGUGUAAGAACUCAAACUGAGGACUUGGUAUAAAAAUUUUAAAAGAAAAAACAUUUUUACAAAAAUGAUUUUGAAAAGGGAAAAAGGGUGUGGUGCAUGCAAUCAGCCGAGCUCAAGUAAGUACUCCCAAAUUACCCAUACAAGCUUAUGUUAUGAUAUGCUUAUGAGAACAACAUGCUAGAUUCGGGUUAAGGGUCUAGGAAGGAUGCCUUAUAUGCCUGUUAUAUGUGUAUGAGCUUUAUGAACUUCAUGCUAGUAUUGAUUAGUCAAUGAUAUGGUAGCAUGAGUAGAAUAUGCUUGAUGAAGUUUACUCAAUGCUCGAAUGCUGCUUGCUUUUUGAUUUUCGAAGUCCUAGUUAUCUUUAACUAACUAGUAAACGAAUACGUUAAGUUACAUAUUAUGAGGACUAAAUAAUUUCAGAAGGUUAGGUUUAGGUCUAUUUCGCAGCCCUCGUUUGAGUCUAACCGUUGUAGGGUAGGACCUCUCAUUCGAAGAAUUGUCUGGUCUUAUUGAUAUGUAAUGGUAUUCACGAUCUAGUUAGGGAGAGAUAGCAGGGACUUCUUAUGCAACUGAUGGCGAAGAGUGGGUUGGUGAUUACCCUAUGGCAAGCCUAGGAUGAGAUUAGUAGAGAGUAGUAGUAGUGAAAGGGACUUGGUGGAGUCAAAGGAGUUCUUGAGGAAUGUACGCAUAUAUAUGGAAGGUAGUAUGGGCCCGUACUACUGAAAGCAGAGGAUCCAUACUCGAAUCAAGGAAGGUUGAGAUGAACCCAGGAAACUUGUAGUAUGUGAGAUCCCUCAAGUUAUGAUAUGUAUACUGAUGUUUGUUAUGGUGUAUUUUUAGUAUGGUGAUGCUACACACUAGGCCAUUCGGCAGUAUAGGUGCCGGUGAGAGAUCAGGCUCGGGCUCUAGAGACGGGCAGCUCUACGAGCAGACGACAUAGUUCAUUUCGUCUGAGGUCAUGCAUAGUAUUUUAGACCAGACACCUGUGAGCUUCGGUACGAUCAAGGAGGGUAUCAUGGUGAAGAACAUGAUGAAGAAGAUAGAAAUAUUUUAAUGGACAAUAGGAUUAACAAAGUUUGUUUUAGAAAGCGUUCAUGUGUGGAUAUACAUUAGUAGCCACAUGAUUAGAUCAAGUUUCAGUAAUUAUGCUUAUGUUUGUUUAGUAAACACUUGCUUCUGUAUAUAUAGAUUUAUGCAGAUUAUAUAGUCGUUUAUGUUGAUAAAGUAAAUCUACAUUUGGAUUUGAAAGCAUUUUUGAUUCAUGAAUGUAAUUCGGUGACUAUUGAUUCAAUUUACAAAUUAUAAGCUAUCACAUGACCUAGGAAACCAAAUCAAUAAGAAUUAGGAAAUAAGAGAAGAACUACAUUAAAAUCUGGAUUGUAAAGUUCCGAAUCAUACCAGUUCUUGAUGUUCUUGCCUUUAAAUCCUUAACGAUUGAUGGAUUUCACAUACAUUUUGAACUAAAAAUACAAAGGAUCAUCAAAAUCAGAGAAAGCAGCUCUAGCACAAGUUUUUGUGAGCCCAUAUCCUUGCCGAAUUGGAGUCCUAAAAAAUACCAUUUACACACAAUAUGUGUCACACCCCCAAACCAAGGAUGGCGGAAACGUCCGGGGGUGGAGGACUUCAUGUAUAGUAUCAUAACAACAAUUUGCAAUAGUGAUCAAAGUAAACACAACCAACAUAAAUAUAAUUGAAAAAGUUACAUCAUUGUAUGAGUUUACAUGUUUCCAAAUCAAUUUCAUUAUGUUGACAAAAAUGAAAUGUUUGAUGCCUUAACGUCCCAUCCUCAAAAGUACUUGAUUACAUGUUUGUUGAUUUCCUGAGAAUACAAGUAAUUUUGAAAGAGUGUCAACAAUUAAGUUGGUGAGUUCAUAAGCUUUUGAAGGUGAUGCUAAAAUCCUUUUCUUGUAAAAGUGAUGUUUGUUCAAAAAAGAUCCCAUAUUUUCUUAUGUAAUGCAUUGUAGUCUUAAAAGUCAAGACUGAAGUGUACAAGUAUUUUACCAUACUUAAAGAAAUUUAUGCAAGUUUAAAUCGACAUAAGCUCGUUAAAUUUAGAAGUAAAACCCAUAAAUCUUAUGUUUUGUUAAUACCCCAUGUGAGUUAUUAUAACCAUACUAUGACUCAGACGGCCUCGUAAUACGACGUUCUUCAGGCGUUGCACGUUAAAUGACACUUCUCACCUCAGACCNCUCACCCCAGACCUGCCGGUCUAGCUUUUACAUGCAGCUCAGGUGUGGGUUUGUCAGACCCAAUAUAGAUCUAUACACAACUAUCACGUUCUCGCUACAAGAGACUCUGGUUACAAUUUACAGGACUUUUGAUUUCGUUACUUGGAUGUAACGUGAAGCGAAUAUCUCACAAAUUUAUUCAUUAACAGAUUUACGUGAACUGAAAACCUUAGGUAAUGAGUUUGAAAUGUAAAUGACACAUAAACUAUACCUAUUAUAGUUUAUCAUAAUUGUUUAUAAUGUAAAAGCAACAUAAACUAUACUACCAUAGUUUAUCGAAUGUUUGUAUACAAUGGAUGUAAACUUUGUUCAUAACAAUUAAUUAAUUACCAUACUUAUGAAGGUAAAAAUCCAUUUGUUUUCUGAUGUAUGUCAAUACACCAAAACAAAAUGACAUAUAAUGUAAAAAUAUAUAUUCACAUAAUUAUACACAACUUUCUCAACAAGUUACAAGGUGUAAAUAAAGUUGAUAACAUUUUUCUAGUGUUAACAUUUUUAUUCCUGUUCAUAGAAGAUUUAUAGAAAAAUGAUCACAGUUCCAAAUCAGAAUCCGUAAAUUAUGAGAGUUUGGAAAAUGUGUCUAGUUUUUUCAUAAAUUUUAUUAUGAUUUUUAGUGACCUCCAACUUGUGUGAAAAAGUCCAUAUUCACAGAUUGGUCCGGAUUUGUUCUUGGAAUGAUAGGCAGUUUUGCAAAAUCACCAUAAAUUGUAGAAAAAUCGUAUGGAGAUGUUCAAGUAGUAAUUUUAAAGGCAUGAACCUAAACUAUUUGCACCUAAUAUAGUUUUGAAAACUAAAAUGCUUAAGUUGACCAAAACAGUCCGUGAAUGGAGUUAAACUUUUAUGAUGAAAGCUGUUGGAUGAGUUUAGUUGUGUUCUUGGUGUUUUAACUUGUAUUGCCCCCCUUAAAACUUAAGAAAAACGUGAAAAGAUAGGGGUAUGAACUCACCUUGUGUGUUCUUAGUGGAUGGAUGUUGAAGAAAAGAAGUGUUCUACUCAAGAACACAAAGAAGAUGCCUUGAAGGUUCGAAGAUCAAGCACGAAUGUGAUGAUGUUUGUGUAAGAUAUCUAUGAUUUGAGUAGAAGGAAGUGAAAUAAUAAUGUGGAGGAUGAUAAAACUUACCAAAAGUAGAAGAAAAGCUUGGAGAAUGGCCUUGAAUCUCUAAAUUUAGAGAGAGAAUUGAGAGAGAAAAGUGUUUGUCUUUUGGAGGAAAAAUGAGAGAAAUGAGAGAAAUGUGGGGAGAGAGGAGGGUUUUCCAGACCUUGACCAAGUGUGUGGCUGGAAGAUGGUGGGAAAAGUACUAUGGAAAGAAUGGGUAUGGUGGAAGGACAAUGGUGGGUCAUAGAGUGGGCAUGGGGUGGUUGUUUGUGUCAUAUACUAAAACAAAGUCAACACUCCACCUUAAGUAUCUCACCCACUAAUCUUGGACAAUGAUUGCACUAAAAAACAUGAUUAUUCAUGAAGUAUGGGGUUUUAUAUGUUAAAACAUGAUUUUGGGUGAAAAUCCCACACAAAAAUAAUGGAAAACGGGCCUAAAAUGAAGUCGUAGUAAAAAACGGGAAGAAAAGCUAAAUCUACGAGGCUUCUCGCAUGGGGGACCGAAGGUGCGAGGGUUCGGCCCUUAGAGGUUGAGAAUCGAAGGUUGGGUUUGGUUGCUUGGUGGGAACCGAAGGCGAAAUGUCAGAAGCGAACUUGUCAGACCCGAGCCUGUCAGAAGCGAACCUAGGCGAGAAGCAAAAUAGACUAAAGGCGGAAGGAGGUUUGGUCCGAAGGGAGAAGGUUCGAGUUCGGUUCAUUGGCAGCUUCAGGUUCGGUUCAAUGGAGCUUCAGGUUCGAUCCUGAGGCUUCGGUUCUCAACAGGUUCGGUCCCAAUAGGGGUUCUUCGGCUCUAAGAGGGUUCUCCCCUUAAAGAGAGGUUUCGGUUCCUUGAGGCUAUUUUACCCAAUAUUACCCCGUUUUAAGUGAUUUUUGACCCGGUUAAGGGUCGGGAUGACCCAAAUGAUUUCAAAAAGUUAUGGGAACUUUUGAGAGAGAUUUGGAAGAGAUUUUUAGUAGAGAGAGAUAGAGUGAAAGAGAUUGGGAGAGGCUUCAUUUGUGACCUUUUUGAAUGUUUGGCUUCGCAAUGCAAGGUCCGUAAACCUCGUGAAGCCAUGUUUAAGGAUCUUACACACCCCCGAUGGGUAUGCAAUAGUGUUUUAUCGUUUUUUCACCUCACUUACCCUGAUUAUGGUUACAGAAAUCUAAAAAAUACGAACCUUCCAAGUGAUGAUUUCUUAUUAAAAUAGUGAGUUGUACAGUAAAUACAUAACGUAAACCCUAGAAUGCAAGGGUUAGUUGAGUUGACCAGAAUUUGACGGUUGUCACAAUAUGUAUAUUAAUAUAUUAGUAAUAAAGUAAUAAUACUUACCCAAUGCAGAUAAUUCAUAAAGCCUUGUGUGUCUGCAACUAAAGGAGCACCACUACAUAGCAUGAAACAAAUGUCUCUUCCAAGUAUAGAACGUAUCUUCUUAAAAACAAUAGCAUCCCAGAAUAGAUCAGGUUAUAGACAUAUUUAAAACAACUUUACAUGCUUGAAAUUUAUUUUCUUUAGAACAACUUUACAUCUGUGAGACUUAGCUCAACAUUUCCAUGUAGGCUAAAAUAAUCAAAACCACUUAAAUUUUUUUGAUCCUUUUUCAAUUUUAGAUUUUAACAUACCAGCUACAACUGCAAUAGAGAGGUAAUCUCCAAUUCUUCUGAUGCGUGAGGCACCUUUUCUAUAUGAUUUGAAGCGCUCUAAUGUUGGAUCCUUUGCCAAAAGUUGCAAAAAGUACACAUUUUCACAAGUUGAGUUUAUAUAAUUGGCUGUAAUGCUUGACAUACAGAUAUUAAUCUUUGAGAAAUUAAAUAUCCUCCUACUUUUGUUCCUAAAAAUCCUCCUACCCAAUUAAAUAAUGACAUGUGUCAUAUUAAUGUAUUAAAAUAUCAUUAAAUGAGCAUUAAAUAAUACACAUGUCACUAAUCAAUUGGGUAAGAGGAUUUGUAGGAAGAAAUAGUAAGAGGAUAUUUAAUUUCUCUUAAUCUUUUCUGUAUAUAAAAAGAUAUAAAAACAUCGGCUUCUUGACCAUGCAUUACCAAGAAGAAAUUGAUAAGGAAAAAAAAAACAAUAGAAUAACUUCCUUAAAAGUCUUGGCUAUGAAUAAACACAAAACAUCAUGUUUAAUAAACAAUCAAAUGUUGAUUUCCUAUGUUAAGGUUACACACACUAAAGCUUGCUAGAAAUCAAUGGAAGUCAGUUGUUAGCCCCAUAUACCCAAAUGUUGUGGAUAAAUAAUUUUGAAUAUUUGGAAAUUUGAAGAGUUGUUAAUGCCAAAAGAAAUGGCAAGAAAUUCUUGCAGUCAUAGACAAUAAUAUGGUUUGUAGAAAGAUUAGAGAAGAAAAAGAAUAUACAUUAUAUCAGGAAUUAUUAUGCCACUCAUGGUACACAUUACAUAACUCACAGUUACAGAUAGGAAGGCAGAUGUAGUGCUCGUUUAGACACGAAGAGCCAUGUCCCAGAAGGAUGAAUAUACAACAUUAUACCACCAAAUUCAUUCUUUUAAACUACCAAAUACAAAGAAUUUGACAGCCAAGUAACUUGCAAGUCUUUGACUGUCAAAUUAAACUAUCAAAUACAACCCACAAUCUAUAAAAAUCAUCUAAAGUGUUGCUUCAGUCACGUUUACCUUCUUCCCCACUCAAAUUGAAGACUGCUUGCACACAUCCUUUAACCAAUUAAACUAUUAAAUACAACCCACAAUCUAUACAAUUACAAUCAAAUAAAGAUCAUCUAAAGUGUUGCUUCAGUCACGUUUACCUUCUUCCCCACUCAACACCCUUCUUCUCCUUCUCUUCCCAGUCAAAAAUCAAACACCAAACAAAACAAUCCUCUUACACUUCAUCGAUUUCUGUCAAAACAAUAACAAAAGAGAAAAAAAUAAAAAAAAAGAGAACAAAAAUAAAAAAAGAGAAAAACAACAGCAACAGCAACCGGAGUUGCUGCUGCCUCCCACGACACCCCAUUGAUCGAUCAUUCUGCCAGUGUCAACAUCCUUUGGAUUGGAUGCCAAAUAAAAAAAAAAAAAAAAAAAAAAAAAAAAAAANAUCAAGAGGAUUACCGGUUGCUGCUUCGUCCUUACCCUUCAAUCCAACUGUUUCCCAUUUCUAUCACGUUUACUUCCAAUCGAACCAGAAGAAGAGCAGCCAAAAACAGCCACACCAAACCCUCGAUCUGAAAGUCCUUGAAUCUUUUUCCCUUUUCGCCCAUCGCACCAUUCUUCUUCUCCGUCGAGCUCCACUGCCGAAAAACCUAGCGGUCGCUGAUUGCCCUUCCUUCGCACCGCGAUGCUGGAGCCGAGAAGCUGCUUGAGCAGCUCCUCGCUGCUCCUCCCUUCCUCCCCUUCGGUCUCGUCGACCCCGAAGACACCCUUGUUCCUCCUCGCGAUCUGAAAUCGCCGGACACCUCCCUCAGCCCUCUUUCUGGCCUGCGACGAGCAAGGAAACCAAAAGCCGCACCGCUGUCUUGGUGCUUUCCUUCGUGACUGCCAUUAUGUCCCGUUCGUUUCCUUGAUCGACCCACAAAUGACCAAAAUGCCCUCCUUAUUAAACCAUGUAUUCAAAAUCACUCUCAAUCCCAAUUAUUGAACCAAUUUGUUUAAAACAACCCGUCUAUUUGUAUUUUCUUUUUUAUGAAAAUAGUCCUAAUCAUUUAGUCAAAUUACCAAAAGCCCCUAUACUUUAGUGAAGUUACAAAUUAGCCACCAAUAGUUUAAAUUUGUUAAGAAACGGUCCCGAGAGUAUAUCAAAGUUCAAGGAUUGUGGAUUUUGCAGUUUUCACACGACAAGUUUC